rnacentral:lncRNA from 1 species
GGCCUGGCCGGGCGUCGCGGACUCGGGAGAUGGAGGAAAAGGAGCAGCUGCGGCGGCAGAUCCGCCUCCUACAGGGUGGGUCGGCCCCGGCCGGGCCGGGCGUGCGUUCCCUUUUUUCCCCCUCACCGCUGGCGGGCCUCUCCGGAGUGGUAGACCUCGCCCGCGCUCUCUCGACGCUCGGGACCGCGGCGUCUGUGCGGGAUCGGCCUGGGCCGGUUUCCGGCGGGUCCCGGGCCGGGCGUGGGCAGCGGGCCUUCCGGGCAGGGGCGGCCGGUCGCUCGGGGUAGCGCGCUGGCGCCCGGCUGGGCCCGGUCCUUCCCUCUGUACCGACGCAGCCCCUCGGAUUCCAGGCCGACUCCCCAGCCCUCAGCUUCCUGCUUAGAACCUAGGUUGGUCUUUGUAGGCUUAAAACCCUUCCAGGUCAUCCCCACAGAGGGAGGCCUCAGGAGUGAGAAUCCGGCGGGCUGCCGCCGCUGGGCUUCCCUCGCACUCGCCCUGAGCCGGCGCCUGGUCUGGAAUGGCUUUCUGUUUGUCUGGGCAGGACUGGCCUGGGGGUGUCCGUAACUGGAGGGCUGCCUGUUGGUUUGGCAGCCGAGUGUUGAUGCCUGUGUCCUGCUUCCCUGCGCCAGGCCAGCCACUGGGGACUUCCUUGGAAAGCCUGUGGUGUCAGGCCUCCUGUUUUGGAGAAGUCAGUGACAUAUCAGGAAGGUCACCAGCCUGUGUAUUGAGUGUUCUUUUAUCUGCUGUCAAGUACCAGUGUUGGGGGGCGUUGUUUCCAUUACACUCCGUGGAAAUUAUUGAGCAUCCUUCCCUUCUGUGGGCAGAGCAGAGGUCCACUCUGGCUGACUUGUAUCCUUGUCCAGAGACUGCAGCUUGGGACCUGGCUGGUCUCUGCAUAUGGAGUGACACUUCCCUUAAAGAAUUGUGGAUCUAACAAAGCAGCAAAUAGAAACUGACCUACCACAGGGCUGCAUUUUCAGGAUAAACCAGCAGAAGUAAUAUUGAAAUAGAACAGAUGGGAAAAAGUCUUGUGCAAAAGACAGGCCUAGGGUUUUGAGCUGAACUGUUUCCAGGCAUUGGGGGCUGCCCCCUGAAUCAGGCAGGGACUCCGGAGGCAGGGUCUGAGGGCAUCUUGCCAGCUUAUGCCCCUCCCUUAUAGUGAUUAAUGCUGCUGUAUUCACACCUCUGGUUGACUGAGUCUGUAAUUCUGUCUUCUCAGGUCUAAUCGAUGACUACAAAAACCUCCAUGGCAAUGCCUCUGCCCCAGGCACCUCAUCUGCUUCCCAGUGGCAGCCACCCUCUUACCACAGUGGCAGGGCCUUUGCUGCCCGCUACCCUCGUCCAAGCCGAAGGGGCUUCUCAUCACACCAUGGACCUGCAUGGCGUAAGAAAUACUCCCUUGUGAACCGGCCCUCGGGAUCCUCAGAACCAGCUGGUGACCAUGCUGUGCAAGCACCCCUCAAGGACGAAGGCAGCCAGGACCCUGACCCUCAGCCGUAUAUUCUUGAGAGACAGGUCCAGCUCAGUCCAGAUCAGAACAUGGUCAUCAAAAUCAAACCACCAUCGAAGUCUGGCUCCAUAUACAGUACUUUAGGACCCCAGAGGAGAUCUUUGGAAGACUAUGAGGACAUGCCCUGGAGUGACCAAAGACCCCAGGAAGGCGAGGGUGAGCCUGCUGUUGGGAAGCUGCAGCCCUUGAGGCCAGGAAGAGGCAGGGGGAGCUAUAGUGCUAAGGAUCCCCUUUUGGUUUGCCAGAAGGAGCCUGGCAAGCCACGGGUUGUGAAGUCUGUGGGCAGUGUGAAUGAUGGCCCUGCGGAGCCCCGGCGGACGGUCAGUGAGAGCGCAGUUGUCGUCCAGGCCUGCUUGCAGUCCUCCACCUUACCCCCACGUACUGGGAUGGCCCUGGGUCGGAAGGUGGGCCCUCAUUCUGCAGCCAGUUGUGCUGUGCAGCCCCUUAGGGAUGAAAGAGUGAAUGCUGGUCAUCCGGAUCAGCCAGCUCCCUUGGGCUCAGUGGUGGCCCCAGCCAGAUCAGUCUCAGGGCCCAGGCAGGCCCGGGAAACCUCACUGCUAGUGUCUUGUCGAACCAACAAGUUUCGGAAAAGCAAUUACAAAUGGGUGGCCUCCUCUGCAAAGAGCCCCCGGGCCACUCGGAGGUCUCUCAGUCCCAGAGCAGCUACAGAGAAUGUGAGCAGGGCCUCCUUUGGCACAUCUGGAAAGACAGAGAAGCCACAGCCCAGAGCUGACCCAGAGGCCAGGCCCAGAAGGCUGGCCAUGAACUCCAAGACCGGGCCCUCUCCCAGCAAGUACAAGUGGAAGGCAUCCAGCCCCUCUGCUUCCUCUUCUUCCUCCUUCCGUUGGCAGUCAGAGGCUGGCAGCAAGGAUCAUGCUUCUCAACUUUCCCCAGUUCCAUCUAGGUCUCCACCAGGAGACAGGCCAUCAGUGGGACCUGGCAGCUUGAAGCCCCUCUUUGGGGAGACACCACUGUCAGCUUACAAAGUAAAGAGCCGCACCAAGAUUGUCCGGAGGCGGGGCAGUACCAGGUGUGCAUCUCCACUGCCCAGUGUCCCAUCUGGGUGCGCGGAGGGGGCUGGGACCAGCAAGAUCCUUUUGGCCCCUGAGUUGUGGAGUCUGGGGCAAGCCCUUAGCCUCUGCUCCCUCCAAGAGUGUUGGGAGGGGGGGGCUACCUCCAGGGAGGGGCAGCGAGGGUUGGGGCUCAUGGUGGGCAUGAUCAGCACCACUGGCUUGUGGGCCUGACCUAGGGGCUUCGUGUGGGAUUGUGUCCAGUGGGCUAUAGGUGUUACUGUCCUUUAGAGCCAUGUCGCGCUUGAGACUCUUAAAGCUGCAUAAGGGGAGGCUCAGGGUGACUAAGGAACUUGCCUUGGAUCCAGCCAGGCAGUGGUGGGGUGGGAGCCUGGUCUCAUGGCCAGAAGCUUGUGAGGCAUGGUUUCCCUUCCACAUUUGUAGAUACAGAUGGCAUGGUACCAGUCUGGCUUCUGGGGAGCAGCCACCAUAGAUAGUCUGCCCAGAGUGCAACAGGAGGGGGAGGCUGUGUGGGAGCCUGUGGUUGCCCCCAGUCUGGAGCUGUGGACCAUGCAUCUGAGCUGGGUGGUGGCCUGGGGCUCUGGGCACUGGCCCUGAGGUGGGGGGGUGCUGGGGCCUUGGGCCCACGAGGCCCGGCCCUGUUGGGUGUUCUGCCCAUGGCCAGGUAGCCUGCUGCUCCAGUUCAGUGCAGUGGGCAGCAGCUGGGUGGGGCUGGUGCACUGCAGCCUCUUGGGAUUUCUCAGAUUUGAGCUCUGGCCACCCUCAGAAAGUGACGAGGUGGCAGGUGGCCAUCCUCAGAGGGAACAAAAUGAUCUUACAUCCCAGCCACUCUCUUGGUGGUGGCCAGGUAACUAGAUGGUGCUACCACCUCACAAGCAUACAGUCCUUUCUGAGCUACCCAUCCUCAUGAGUUGUAGAGAGACUCAAAGAUGAUGUUGUAGCCCAGAGUCUUGUUCUGGGUUCUGAGACUUCAUCAGAUGAGCAGCUAACAAACAGAAGCGUGAGGCUGCACCGCUGGGCAGAGUGUCUGCUGUGGAGUGUGCCUUCCCAGCCCUGCAGGAGCUCUUUCUUCUGUCUGACCUUUGUCUUUGGCUCAGGGUAGGCUCCCUUCCUCUGACCCCAGUCCCUGUUCUUCAAAUUCUCGGAGAGUGGCUUUGCUGUACCAUGCCUGUGCUUCCUCUGUUCUGGGGAGUGUGGAGAGGGAGCCUUGGGGCACUCCUCUCACAGGUGGGCGGGGUUGGCCUGUGGGCCUGGUGGCAGCUCCUCCUCAAGGGCUGCAUCUCUUUCUGUUGCUGCUUGUCCCCACCCUGUGCAGGAGGUUAUUGGACUGGGGAAGUGGGGCGGAGUGGGCAUUCCAGGAGGGGUUGGUCUGAGGCCUCUGCCCUGGUGGGGAGUGUGGCAGCCUGCCCUGGCCCGGGUCUUCUGAUUACGGAUCUGCCUGCUUGCUCAUCCUGGCUGCAGAGGGAAGGGGAGGGGGAGAAGGGAAGUGGACUAGCAGCCAGGUGGGCGCUGCGUCAGACUGGGUAGGGAAGGCAGGGCUUUGGAAGAAGCCACGGAGCUCUGCCUGCUUGUGUCUGGGUCCAUGCCCUUCCAUGAAGACUUGGGUAAGGAAGGGUGGGUGGACAGAGCCACCAGUGAUUCCGCUGGUAUCUGCUUGAUUUUGUCUCUACAGCCUUCCUGGGGACAAGAAGAAUGGCCCCUCACCUGCCACUACCAAGAGCCACCUUAACCUGCGGCGGAGACAGGUCCUUCGGGGGAAGAACAACCCUGUUCUGAAGAGGACUCCCAAUAAGGGCCUGGUGCAGGUCACUAGGCAUCGGCUGUGCCAUCUGCCACCAAGCCGGGCCCACCUCCCCUCCAAGGAAGGUAUGCCAGGGGAAGGGGCUCAUCAUGGGAUGGGAAUGGCUGCAAGCUGCACCCCUCCCUGGGAUUGAACCCAGAGGUGCAUCUCCAGUGUCUGGUCUUGAACUUGCACUCUUUCUGCCUCAGCCUCCUAGGUUGCUGGAAUUGCAGUGGUGCACACCACAUCUGGCUCCUCCCUGGCCUUUUAGGAACCAUAUUUGCUGUCUCCUGAACAUGCUGUUGGAGGGCUGUGGACCCAGAGGGCUCUGCCUGGUGGGCAGCGGGAGGCCAGGUGAUGAGUGCAGGAGAGGGACUGGGAGUGUUGUGCCUGGGUGGGGGCUAGUGCAGCUAGUCAGGAGUGUGGUAGCCUUUCUGCCCAGUCCUCAGUAUGUACCCACUGCGUCCCUCCUGUGGGAGGUGAUGGGUAAGAGCCCUUGUGCCCAGCCUCGCUUCCUCCAAGGGAGGCCCACAGGGCUCCGCUCCCCUGUCCUGGGCCAGCCUGGAAGUCUUCGUUGCAUUCUCCCAGAGUCACCUUUUGCUGUGAGCAGCUGGAAGCCUGUGGGAGGUCCUGAGAGCUCCCUGCGGUUGCCUGAGUAGAUCCUGGCCUACAGGUUGUAGGUAUGACUCCUCUGAGGACAGCCCUGUCCCCCACUGGGAGGAGACGUGUCAGGAUACACUGACACUGGGGGGCCACCUCCAGGCCAGUGUGUGCUCCGGGAUCUGUGGUGAGGGGUCUUGAGUCCUAGGGGUGGCACUUACCUGGUGUGGCCAUGGGGAGCUGGGUUUGUCUGAGUACACCUAACCCUGUGGCAUCUCCUGUCAUUCUCCUUGGAGCACCUGGGCAAAUGUGGCCAAGUGUGUGUAGAGUCUGGAAAGGGUGGGGUGCUUGGAGACUAGCAAGCAUGGACAUGGGCAGUCUGAGUGGAUACUGGCUCUCAUUCAGGAAAUAUUCUUGGCUGACCGGGAAGGUUCUGGGGAAGGCUCUGGGAGGGGCAUUGCUGGGCAGAGCUGAGAGCCUGUGUGGAGAGCUGGGUACAGGAGUGUGGGGCCCACAGCCCAGCCAGAGGACUGAAGGGGCUUGUGCAGCUGGGACUGGGCCUGCAGGCUCAUGAGGCAGCAAAGUUGGAGGGUGCUGGCUGCUUGCUGUUUUGUGUGGCUGACUCUUGCCAUGUGCUGGGGCCAGUGUGGAUCUUCCCAGGUGACAGGGAGCAGGGGAACCAAGAGGUACCUGGUGCUGCAGUGCAGUGGCUGGAUGGGAGUGUGGAAAAAAGACUUGACUGGACAGAGGGCAGGUGCUCAUGGUCAAGUAGGGAGGAUAGGUGGAGGAGGGCUCCAGCUUUGGGUGGAGGGGCCUGCCGGUGUCAUGGGAAGGCAGGGUGGGAGGAUGGCUGAGUGAGGUCCUCACUGGUGUCCUCUGAGUCAGCUCCACACUCUGUGCCUGCAGCUGGCCUGUUCGCUCUGGCCUGGGGCAGGGUGGGGUACGGACUGGGGAUGGUUCUGCUGGCAGGGGCUGGCACUGCCGUGAGCCCCACAGGUAGUCAGGCAGGAAGGAAUGUGGGUCCCUAGGUUCCCACCUUGGGUCAGGCCUUGUUGGGAACUGUGGGGGCUGCUAUGGUCACUGCCCUGAUAGGACCAGGGGAGCGAGCAACCUCAUAAUCAAGUGUGGUGACUGUAAGGGAGGGCCUGUGGUGAUGGGCCUCUGGGAAGGUCUCCUACCCCCUCCCCUGCCUGCCUACUCGCCAACCACAUGUUGGUCACUUUGGGGCCAGGCGGCAUGCUGACUCCUAGGGGAUGCUGGAGCCAUGCUCUGGUGGUAAAGACAGGUGGCAAUCUGCGUCCUUAUGGACGGACUGGAAAGAUGCUUUUGGAUGCUCAGUGUGUUCUGAAAAUGAGGAAGCAGAAGAGUGUAGCAGUGAGUCUUGGGAAGGCUGGACAGCAUUGACCGGGUGUUUGGGAGGGAUUCUCUGAGGAGGGGACCUGAAUGAAGAGAGAGCAAGUAACUCUCAGUUCUGCAAGUGGAGGGCAGGGUGGGACUGAGUUUCCUGUGUUCCAGGAACAGAAGGGAGGCCCUGUAGCUGACAUGUUGUCCCAGGUGAGGGAACCAGACAAUGGGAAAGUUCUUGUAGGUCCCAGUAAGAAAAAGAGGGUUGCUUCCGGUUACAUUGGGAAGCCAGGGUGGGACAGAAGAGGGUUAGGGUUAGCUGGGACUUGGGUCGUGUUUUCAUGGAUAGCAACAGGCCCACAGUGCCCUGGAGGCUGGAGCAGGUUAUGAGUCAUAGGCCUGCACGUGUGGCCUUGUGUGCCAGGCUGUGUGAGUGUCUUCACCUCCCACGUGGGCAGGGGCCUCUGGAAGACGGACAUAAGAGGUGUGAGAUGCUGAGGCGCACCAGGUGGUCCCAGAGACUGCCCCCGAAACUUGGACAGCAGAGGCCACGAGCUGGGAUUGCUGCAGGAGGACAGGGGCCUGGUUAGGGCAUCAUGAGAGGGGGUGGGAGUGAGGACAAGCAUCUCCCUGGGUUGGGACCUAGGCGGAGCCUGGGUAAUCCUGAAGCCAACGUGAGGCUUCCCCAGGGUUCCUCCUGCAAGGCCUGCUGGCUCCCUCCCUCCUGGCUAGGGCUGUCUUGGGUCCCCAAGCUGGGGAUCUUGCUCAGAUGUAGUUCUGCCUCCAGGAGGGUGUGGAACCCAAGGUUGUGUGGCUCCUAGGUAGCAGUUCCUCCCACUGGAUGGGGCUGCCCCUUCAUCUGGCUGGAAUAUUCUCUUUUCCCAUUUUCCUCCAGAAAAUGCUUAGCCCCAGCUCCAGCUCUCCAGGGAAGCAGUGUCCUGAUGUCCAGGGAGGGACCUGACCUCCUAAUGGGCUUCUGUGCCUGGGAGGGAGGGAAAGAGGCCUUUGGCAGCUGCAGGGCAGCCCUGCCUUGUGGCCUUGCUGCCAGCAGAGGGCGCACUUGCCUCUCUUAUUCUUAAGUCCACCUUUUUCUAGUAAUUGAUUGCCUAAUUUCCUCUUUAUGUGAAAGAAAGCAGAUAUCAAGUAAUUUGCAGCAAUAACCUGCUAAUGCUGGGCCAGUAUCGAAACUCCCCUGUUCAUUUCAAGUGGCAGAUAAAACACUAAUACAUAAUUAUCCUUGCAAAUUGGAUUGUUUUAAAUAACCAAAAGGCUACGGCCAGGAGAAAGCGAUCCCAUCUCCCUCGAGUUACUCUUGCAGCGUAAUUGCCGCGUUCAAUCAAUUUCCCUGGCAUUAGAAAUUCCAUCACAAUCAACAUUAAGCUUUAUUCAUUGUGAUGGCUAAGAGCCGGGCCAUUUCUCCUCUUUUUCUUAACUGGCAAAAUUAAUCAGGGAAAAGAUUUUAAACAUUUACCCGUGCGAAAGAGGUCAGCCCUGCCACUAUAUUGCUCAGCAGAUAAGGGGGCUAAUAAAAAGAAAAUUGAAUUACUAAUGAUCACCAGGAACAGAGUAUAUAAAACCUGGCAAUCGCCAGUUCAGGAGAAGGGAGAAUCAAUUUUCUUGGGACAAGGUGCGCUCAUUUUUUAUUUUGGCGCAUAUUAUCAGCAAUUUAAUUUGAGAGCACAUAAACAGGAGGAAACAGUUAGGGAAUAAUGAGCCCCGAGGUGUAAAGUGCCGCAGGAUAUAUGCUGUACACAAUUUAUUUGGCACAACAGAUAAUCACUUUAAUUGAAUUCAAAACUGCAUUGUUCAGCAGCCGUGCGGCCGCUCAGCCCGAGGACUGAGAGUGUCAGGAAGGUUCCAGCCUGACUCAGGGAGUCCCUUCCUGACCCUGUCUCCUCUGCCUCCAAAGAGUUCUCUGGGCCCCAGAGAUUUAGAAUCAGAGUUUGACUGGAGUCGGGGGGUGGGGGGGGGGGCUUGGGGUACCCUCUUGACCCUGUGCCCCUUGUCUCUGCCUUCCCUUUCUCCUGGGGUUGAAGGGUUAAGAUUCUGUCGGUGGUGGGUCUGAGUGGAGAUCUGCCUGAUUGUCAUGGAUAUUGCAGGAGAGUCUGGGGCAAGGGGGGGCGAGACCUUUAGGGUUCGCAAAAUGGUGCCUGAUUUACUGUCCCCGUAAUUCUUGCCAUCAGUUACCCAGUGUGAUAACCAUCCAUCUGGGCUCUCACUCUGGUAUGGGCAUGUGGGGCCUGAGGGGCUCAGGGUCAGCUCUGAGGCUCAUUCUCCUCAGGCCCAGCCAGGCCCAGCCAGGCCCAGUGCUGUGUCUGGCUGCCUGAGGAGACCGUGUAGGCUGCUGAGCUGCCCUCAGCGGGGGUGCUGCCUGGGGUGCUGCGCCCCAGGCUAGGGUGCUGCUUGAUGCCAACAAGUCAAUGUUUCCUUUUCUCUUGCUGUUCUGGGGCUUGAAGCCAGGGCCUUGGUGUGCUAGGCAAGCCUCUGCCAUGGAGCUGCAUCCCCAACCCAUUUAAUUUUGUUUAAAAAUAGGGUCCUACUAGGUUGCUGAGGCUGGCCUCAAAUUUGUACUCCCUCUGCCUCAGCCUUCCGUCUAGAUACUCAGCCCAAUACCUAGACCCUUCACUACUACUCUCCAGUUUGCUGUCCUGCCCUCCCCAGCCCUAGGCUGGCAUCACUGUUGUACAGUUGUGUGUCACCGGGCCUGUCUUAGUUGGGGAUUCCUAAGAGCCACUUGGAAAUGUCUGCUGCUGUGUGCCAAGGAAAAGACUUUGUGGAGAUCUGCUGGGGUGGGAGGCCCCUCUACUUUUCUGCUCAGGGUUGUGGGUAUGUAGUCACAGCCCACCUCUUCUCCUGCUCUCCAUGGUGAGCCUGGGGUCCCGCCCACGAAGCAGCAACUUUGGCAGAUGAGUUGCUAGAGUGGAGGGCUUGGAUGAGGCCUUGCUGAAGGUGGAUGGGGCUGGGGGCUCCCACAGGCAUACCUGCCAUGGGCAGGAAGGGCUGGGUUUCUUGGUGUUCUUACAUGUGACAAUUUGUGACAGUAGGCUGGCCCAAGACCUGUAGGUUGCACAGGCUUUCACAUAAGCCACCCAGGCAGAAUCAUCUGCCUCUGGCCUAGAGUUCACUGGCAUAUGACAGGUGAUUCCCACCUUGUCCUUAGUCCACAGUGCUGGCUCUGUGGGUAUGGAGGAACCGCUUUCAUCAUUUAUGGACAAGAAGCAGGAUCACCCUCAGUCACUGGCAGAAUGGGCAGGAGUGGAUCUUGACCCCCCCUUCUGGCUGGGUGUCACCAGUUCUGGGGCCCACUGCCCAUUCUUAGAGUCCAAGCGCUUCAAGAAAGUGCUCAGGGAGUCUUCCCUGUGUGACCUCUGUUGACCUCCUCUUAGCUCCCUGCUGCCCUUCACCACUCACCAGUUUGCUGUCCUGCCCUCCCCAGCCCUAAGGCUGUCACCUAUGGAGAGGCUGGGGACCCCUCAGGCAUACAGUGCUUUCUGGGCACUGGUCUGCCCCCCAGCCUCUGUCCACCUGAAGGCAGCCUCCCGAGUCUGUUGGUGGGGGUGUGUCUACAGACUAUUUGACACUCUUCUCUCAUGCCCUCCUGGCUGUGUGCACAGUGUGCUUAGGCUUGAAGGACCUGCCCAUCAAGGCCCUUCCUCCCAUCCUUAGAGGUCCCUGGGGCUUCAGGAGUGGAAGCCUGGUCAGGGCAGCUUGGGUCCUUGCCCAGUCCCAGCAUGGGCAUUGAGCCUUGGCAAUGCUGGUGGCCACUUUUCUUCUAUGUCAGGCGAAGGCAUGGGUUCUCCCUGUGAGGGAGCAGAGAGCUGCGGUCAUGGACCCAAGUCCGCCACCUCUCCCUGCCUGUGGGCAGAGGUGUGUGCUGUUCUGCAGCCCCAGCUGAGCAGACAGAUGCCAUAGAGGACGUGUGCCAGGGUCCAAGGUGCUGGCUUCGAGAGUGUUCACAGUGGCUCGCUGUGCCUGGCACGGUAGGGCUCAGGGCCGGUGUGCUCAGCAGGGAGGCUGAGCUGGGUGACCGCCUCUGUUGCUGGGUGCUGGGAGGAGGCUGUAUUCAGGAUGCCAGGUACAUCCUGACUUUGAGUGUUCAGGCUUGGUGCUGGCAUUUGCCUCGCUGGGGAACUUGGGCCCCUUGUGUUUGUAGUGCGGAUAUCUGAUUCCCUAUCUGUAAAGUGGCCAAGGGUUGAUUCUCCUGGGAUUGGGAGGUUAAGGGGUAGAACUCUGGGGUGCUUUGGACCAGCCCUGCAUUCCUGCGUGCUGUGUGGCUGCUGGAGAUGCUGCCUGGGAGCUGUGCUGGCACCUUGGGGGUCUGCGAUCCAUCAUUGCUCACUGGUGUGCAGCUGGGCUGUUCGAUUUUACUAUGGUGAACACCGUUAAAGGGCGUGAGAGCAGUUAAAUCUGGAGUCCUGCUUUCAUAAGGGAAAAAGAAAAUGCUGAAUUAGGCUCUGGGAAAGGCAGCCGCAGCGAUCCUUGGAUCUUGCAUAAAUUAUCAGGCGCGCUGGAGGCCUCCAGUUUUACGUUUGUCGUGGCCGUUCUAAUGAAUUAUUCCACAAGAAUUGGCAUGGGAUUGCACAUGUGUGCUGCUCAUGGUGCCAUCGUAGCCUUGAAGUCAAGACCUGGGGCUGGCUUCCCUUGGUGUCUUGUGCAUAGCACUGGUGGCCCUGCUGUCAGAGGGAAGAGCCCCAGCCCAGCAUGCCUUGUCUUCCUGCCACUGUCCCUUAUUGUGCCAUCCCUGCUCUCGUUGGAGACCCAGUGGCACUGAUGUGACUCUUGGUACGCGGUCCUCAAGGGCAAAGGGAGGCUGUGUGGCUGGGUCUCUAGCUGGAAGAUGGAAGGACCUGGUGGCAGCAGGCUCAGUUCCUGGGAUUGGGGUCAGGGGACAUUGUGAGCAGAGUGUGUGGUGAGCGUGAGGAGGCUUGAGUUUGUGCACAAGCGGGGCAUCAUCCUCUGACCCUGGGAGGGCUGUUUUUGAGGCCAACUGCCCCUUUGGCUCUUCUCAGCUCCCACUCUUAAGAAUAUCUUCCUGCUAUAGUGGGAAGCUGCCAGAUCCCUCCUGCCCCUUCCCCUGUUCAGGCCAAGUAUGUCCUGCCCUCCCGAGUGGGGAGCUGCCAUGCAGAGGCGGCACCUGGCCUGGUUCUGUCUAGUGUAGGACACUCAGUGGAAAGAGUUUUGGGGUCCCCUCAGAAUUGCACUGCAGGCUCUGGGGCAGUACCCCAUGGUUGGUCAGGGGACAACUGGGGCCAUGGGGUCUAAGAGAUGCCUGCUAAGACUCUGAGGGACAUUCGCUAAGUGGGGAGCCCCUCUCCCUGCGCUGUGAGCUAAGCUGCCUGAGAGAGUGCCAGUGAGAUCCUCUCUCCAAAUAAAGAUAAAAGGGGCUGGGGAUGUAGCUCAGUGGUAAAGUGUCCCUGGUGCAGUCACCGGUGCCAAAAAAAAAAAAAAAAAAGCGUGGUCUUCAGCAGUUGUGUUCAGUGCCAGAAAGUCAGUGUUGGUUGUGCUGUUGAAGUCUUCUGUGUUCUUACAACUCUGAUUCUGGUUUUCCACAGUCGAACACAGGGUUGUGUUAGAAUCUUCCAGUGUGCUUGUGAAUUUCUUCAGUUCCAGGUGUCAAUCUGACAUUAAAUAUCUUGAGGAUACUUUGCUGGGUGCAGACCAAUCUGGAAUUUUAUUUCCCUAGUGAUUGAAGCUUUGAAUAUUGGGAGGUGCUCUGCGUCUUUUGUAGUGUUCUUUUGUAGUGUUCCUCGCCUCAAAGCCUGCUCUACUGUCACUGUGUACCUACUUUAGUUCAUGUUUGCAGCAUGUGUGAGCCUACACACAUACCUACAUGUGUAUGUAUGAGAAGUUUGUAUAUGUACACAUUUAUUUUCACCUUUUCUCUAUUAUGUUUGGACUUUUUAUAUAGCAAAGUGUUGGGUUUUUUUUUUUUCUUUUGGUACUGGGGAUUGAACUCGGGGCCACUCAACCACUCACCCACAUCCCCAGCCCUAUUUUGUAUUUUAUUUAGAGAAAGGGUCUCACUGAGUUGCUUAGUGUCUCACCAAGCCUGAGGCUGGCUUUGAACUUGCAAUCCUCCUGUUUCAGCCUAACCUGCCGCUGGGAUUAUAGGUGUGUGCCACUGCACCUGGCUAAGAGUUGUUUUUUCAAAAUUCUUUCAAAAAUAUUUAGUCUAAGCAGCUCGGGGGGCUGAGGCAGGAGGAUUGCGAGUUCGAAGUCAGCCUCAACAACUUAGUGAGGCUCUAAGCAACUCUGUGAGACUCUGUCUCUAAAUAAAAUAUAAAAAGGGUUGGGGAUGUGACUCAGUGGUUAAGUGUCCUUGGGUUCAGUAUCCCCAGUACCCCCAUCUCCCACAAAAUUUAGUAUGUACUUUUGAUGUGUUAAUUAGCAUAAAUUAGAAUCUGCCAUUUUAUUGUGUACUUUUUGUUUCACCAGCUCUGUAUCUUUUCUUUAUUUCUUCUUUUGAGAUAUUUGAAAGUUUUCAUUUUCCUUUAAUGGCUUGUUACUGUGUGUUCUUCAUUCUGCAUCUAGAAGUCCCCUCAGGUGACAGUGUGCAUUUAUGUCAUCACUGGUGCUUGUACACAGCAUGGUCCCUAGUUGGAUGGUGGCAGCUUAGAAUGUGUCCCUUGGCUUCUCGCCUUCCCCGUCAUGCACUGGCAUUGUUGUGAUGAUAACUCUCCCUGUGUUCCAGAAGGCAUGAGGCAGAACUUGCAGCCAGCGUCUGUGCGGACUUACUCAUGUGUUUGUUCUUCCUUUUCUUUCUAUUCCUUUCUCUGCUUAUGGUUGAAGAAUAUCCCUUAAUAAUGCAGGUCUACUUGGGACCAGUUCCUGCAAUAUGUGUUUGUUGAAAAAUGUCUUUAGGGGUUGGGGCUCAGUGGUAGAGCACUUGCCUACCACGUGCAAUGUAUUCCGUUCCCAGCAACAUGCGCGUGCGCACACACACACACACACACACACAUACGCACACCAGCCAGAUGUGGUGACGCAUGCCUGUAAUCCCAGCAUGCAGAGGCUGAGGCAGGAGGAUCGUGAGUUCAAAGCCAGCCUCAGCAACUUAGUGAGGCCCUAAGCAACUUAGCAAGACCCUGUCUCACCAAAAAAAAAGGCUGGGUAGGUAACUCAGUGGUUAAGUGCCUCUGAGUUCAAUCCCUGGUACCAAGAAAGUAAAAUAAAAAUAAAAAUAUUGUAUCCCACAAAUACAUAGGAUUAUUUUAUUUUAUUUUAGGUACUGGGGAUUGAACCCAGGGGGACUUAACAUCUUAGCCACAUCCAGUCCUUUUUAUAUUUUCUUUAGAGACAAGAGUCUUGCUUAGGGCCUUGCUAAAUUGCUGAGGCUGGCUUUGAACUUAGAAUCCUCCUGCCUCAGCCUCCUGAGUGGCUGGGAUUACAGGAGCGCGCCACUGCGUCUGGCCAUACAAUUAUUUAAAACAAUUUUACGUUUGUCUUAGUUUCUCAAUCUUUUUUUCUUUGAGAAGAACUCUUGUGCUUGCUUCAGCAGCACAUAUACCCAAACUGGAAGGAUGUACCAGUGAGCGUGGCCCUGCCCAAGGAUGGCAUGUACGUUCAUGACACAGGCCUCGCUCAGUUGCUCAGACUGGGUUUGGAAUUGUGAUCCUCCUGCCUCAGCCUCCUGGGGAGCUGAGAUUACAGGUGUGCACAGCUGCAGCAGAGUGCUUUUGCUGGUUAAAGAAUUUUAGGGAUGGACUGAGGAUAUAGAUCAUUGACGGAGUGCUUGCCUAGCCCAUGUUUAAGUCCUAGCACUGCAAAAAAAAAAAAAAGUACAGAAGAGAUUUUAGGAUGGCCACUGUUUGUGUGUGUGUGUUCCUUGAUGUUCUGUCUCAUGGCCCCUGACGUGGCUGCUGCUGUUGAGGCCAGCUGGCCUGCCUGGGAAGGUGUGACCUCUCUCUUCCCCUUGGUACGAUUUUCCUCCACCUUUGGUUUUCAGCACUUUUGCUGAGAUGUGCUUACGUGUGCUUUUAAUUUAUUCUGCCUAAGGUUUGCAGUAGUCCUAAUUUACUUAUUUGCCAUUUUGCAUUGUAUGAUUUGCCACUAAAUCCAUUCCUUGAGUUCUCAAUUUCAGUUAACUGUUUUUAAAUUCUAAAAUUUCUAUUCGUCUUUUAAAAUAAUUUCUAGGUCUCCACCAAAAAUUUGCAGUCUUGUCUUUUUAAUUCCUUGAACACAUAUACUUGUCUGUAAAAGUCAGGGUCUGGCUAAGUUGCUGAGGCUGGCCUCAAACUUGUUCCUCCUGCCUAAGGAUCUUGAGAAGUGGAGAUUCCAAAGGACACACCUAGAUUCAUCUAAUUAUUUUUUAGAGAGAGAGAGAAGUUUAAUAUUUAUUUUUAGUUUUCGGCAGACACAACAUCUUUGUUUGUAUGUGGUGUUGAGGAUCGAACCCGGGCCGCACGCAUGCCAGGCGAGCGCGCUACCGCUUGAGCCACACCCCCAGCCCUCUAAUUAUUUUUUAAAGUUCAAGUGUGUAAAAGAAAAAAUUAAUCUUACUUUAUAUGUGUGUGGUGCUUAUUGACUCCAGGGUCGCACACAUGCUAGGCAAGUGCUGUAUCCUAAACAUACCCCAGCUCCCUGUCCUUUUAAAGACCACGAUUAUUGGGAUGUCUUUUCCACUGUCUGUUGUUAUUUUUCUUUAUAUGUAUUUGGUCAUUUUGUGUAUGCAAAUUUUGGAGAUGAUUUGAAGCUGGAUAAUGUCUUCUUCCUCCAGAUGGGCAACAGGACCUGCAGAGUCAAGGGCAGUGUGGGGUCGUGACCCAGGAGUGAGAAUGCCUAGCAGGCUGUCUGGUAGUGUCCUGCUGAGAGGGUGAGCUGGCCUGUACACCUGGAGCCCUGGGCAGCCUGUGGGGCCCUUCAUGGGCCUGUACCUCCCCCUCAGCGGCAUGGCCCUCAUUGCUCACUGUGCCUGAUGGUGUAGUAUGGUGGACAGGGUCCAUGUCAGGACCAGGGGCCGUAGUGGGCAGUCAGAGCUCUUGCAGCCCAGCCCUGCAGCUGGUGGUCCACUUUCCCAUCUAUAGGCAGGUGCAUUGGAGCCUCUACCAACUAUGGAUAGUGGGAGAGGAAGGGCUGCUCUGUGUGUUGGUGACCUGUAUCGGAGACCAAGUGGCUCACUGAUCUAUGGCCUGUCAGGAUUCUUCACUGAAGUGGUGGGAGGGCUGCUUGGUGGAUGGGCAGCUCCUCACCCUGGAGAGGUUUGUGGAGCGUCCUCGAGUAGCUGGAGUGGGACUUGAGGCAUGGAGCUGGGCUGAGGAGGAGGUGCUGUGGCUGGUGCGCCUUGCCAAGGACAUCUGGAGUGUACGUCUGAAAGUCCCUGGGGGCUGCUCAGUGAGGCUGGGUGCUCUCUGAUGAUGCCCAUGCAGGAGGCCCCUCAGGGAACUCCAGGGAGAGCCUAGAUUUCAGGGUGGCCCAGGACCCUAGUGCUCAGGCUGUCAGGGAGUGGGGAGUGGUCUCCAGUUCUAACUGAGGUCCUGGACAGGAACUGGCGGCCUCAGGUGCCCUAUAGGAUGGAGGGGGCUCUGCUGGUUUUAGGUAGGGCUCUGGGUGGGGUCCACUUGUAGGGGUUAAGGGUGACCCACAGGGUGAGGCUAGACUGGGUGGGUCUUGACCCAACUCUUGCAUCCCACUGUGGCUGGGGCAGCCCUCGGCCAGGUAGCCCGGGGAGAGCAGGGCCAGGGUUGAUGGGGGACUUCUUCCUGGGAGACCUGGCCAGGCCCUUUUCUCUGCUCCUCGCAGGAGCCACUGUGCUGGCUGUCAGUAUUUGCUGGCUGGCCGGCCAUCCUCGUUUGGAGCCCCCAGGCCCCUCAGCCUCCCCACCUCCAUGACUGCAGCUCCCUGGCCUGUGUACUCCUGGGAGCAUGUCAAUGUGGCAUUCCCUCUUAGGAUGGGUUCCAAGGAUGGCCUUGCGUGCUGGACUCUGAGCUGAGAGCUUUCCCUGCUUUUGUUGCUGAACCACUUUGGUGGCUCUGCCUAAGGAGGAAUACCAGCUGUAUGGGUGCCGCUGUUUCAGAAAGGGCCAGGCUGUGUGUGCCUUUUCAGCUGUCAGAGCUUCUAGAUGUUAGGAAGAUCCUGAGAGAGGAGUCUCUGUACACUGUGACCUUCUGCUCCAUGCACUCUGUGUGCUUGGAGAGGGCAGUGGCCAACAGUGCCCUCAGUGAUUGCCAACCGUGACUCUGUUGCUGACAAGAAACUUACUCCAUGCAGGAGACUAGUGCCUUCGCCAAUCGUGAGCAGAGCAGAGCCUCCUGGGUGGCAGAGUCGGUGAUGCCAAGAGGGACUGAGAAAGAACAGUAGCCACAUCUGGGCCCUGUAGAGCCACCUGGGUAUUACCUGCAACGUGGCCCAGAGCUUCCGAGGGCCCAUGAUCUUCCAAAUUUAACAGUCUAAGUGCAUAGAAUUGAUGGAAUGUGUAAAGGAAAUCUAUAACUGGGUACAAUGACUAUAAAUCCAGCAGCUUCUGAUCAUUAAGUGUCCUGUUAUUUGUGGGUUUGCUUGAAAGUCUUUCUCUCAGACCUGGCAGGAAGGAGCCCUGGCUUUGGAGAUAAGCCCUGUGCCUCAGGCUCCCUUUUGGAGCUUCUGACUUAGGGGGUCUGUACAGAGACAAGGGGAUGGGCAGGGCCCACAUACUUGCUUCCACUGCUGGCUAGUCCUUGCAGCCUUCGGGUAAGAUGUCCAGCUCAGGGAGGUGGUCAGGUCAUCCUGCUAUGGGGGGUCUCCUGGCUAGAGGCAGACUGCUGCCCUCCCCAUUCUCUCUUAUCUCCUCCAGGUUGCUGAGUCCCAGAGCCACACAGCCAUAGUGCAAGGGAGAAUGGCUUGCCCACUUUGCCCUGAGGGCUGCGCAUGUGGAGGUAUUGGUUCUGUGCCCAGACCUUGCAGGCCCAGUUUUCUCUCCUGGGGCCAGUGGACAGGCCGUCAUGGACCCUUUGAGCCACCUUUGCUCUGUAUCUUAUCUCGGGCUUUACUUUCUCUUCUGUUGGUGUGAAGGGAGUGGGCUCUGGGGAUAGGGCUGUGAGUUCUGAGCCCCUCAGCCAGGUGGAUGUGGUAGUGCAGUGGAGCCCAGGCCGUGCUGUGCUCCUGCCUGUGUCUAGGCCAGGCCCUCCCUAGGUGGUUCUCUCUGGGGCCAUGAAGGUCCCAGCCUGGCUUUGGAGAGUGCAUUUCGGUUUGGCAGCUGUUGCGUUCUGGGAUCAGCUUUCACCUGUUGCAGCUGUGCUGAGGGGAAGGACUGCAGGAGUGGGGCUCAGGGCCACCUAGGCCUGCUCUGUCUUGGUCACCGUGCUCCAGGGCCCAUCUGAAGCAUGCUGAGGGGCAUCCAUGGGGUAUGGCACUGUGCGUAGCUGUCUGUGUCCCUAGCACACUUGCCUCUCCCAGCCCAUUAACAUGUAGGCCUAGAAGGAAUCUGGGAGAUAUGCUGCCCCGAGUGCCCUGCUUGCCUAUGUGUGGAUAGGGAGACUGCCCCAGGGUCAGGCUGCUGUGUACAAGUUGGGCUGGAACAGACCAGAGUUCUGGCUCCUAUCCAGGGCUGUACCCUCCCUCCCUGCAUCUAUGCAGGUCCUCCAGGCUGCUGUGGGCUCUGUGGCCAGGACUCCCAGCUCCUAGCAGCCUGUCUGUGGGCUCCGCUCCUGUGGGUCAGUCCUGGGCUGCUGUUUUCCUCUCAUGCAUGGUGUGUUCUGAACUGCAUGGGUCUGCAGCAGCCAUGGGACCUGGCAGCUUUCUUCUAAUUGCCCUCUCUGCCUCAGCUGCAGAGCAGUUAAGUGGUAGGUGUCCAUGGGAGUGAGCAGUAGCCUUGGCUCCUGUGUCAGGGUGAGGCUGCCUGUAGAGAAUGGGGCAAAGCAUGACUGCAGCUACUUCCUGGAACCCAGCAACUAGAAGAAAGCUUUGUAAAGACUUGGGGGACCCAGCAGCUGGCAGAGACGCUUUGUGUGUGACUCACAGGAUGCCCUGGAGUUCUGAAUGGCCCUGUGAAGAUACCAAUGUAGACCAUGAGGUGGCUGCAGAUUUACACUGCUGCCUUACCUCCUACCCAUCUGGGAGCCAUGAUGCUGACCUGGGAGGGCCUCAAGGAUCUCAGCUGGGCCUACAGAAAAGAAAGGAAGGACUGUACACCUUGUAGGGACUCUAAACUGCUCGGCCCUGCUCUGCCUGGGCUUCUGAGGACUUGGGCAGGAAGUGCUCCCCUGGCUGAGAGUGAGUUCUGGAGUGUCUCUGGUGAGCCCCUCUGAGCUGUGGCCAUAUCACAAAUUUCUGUCAUUACAUGCCUAGAAGGUUGCAAUAGGAUCAGGGCUCUGUGGGGCAUGUGAGGUGCAGGUGGUCAUUGCUGGGCCCUUCCUUGGGCCCUGGAGGAGGCUACCUAGCCUCUGUGUCUUCCAGGUGAGUGGGGACAGCAGUAUUGUCCCCAUACCUGAGCUUAGGAGCCCAGUCAAGUUCCUCCUACCAAGUCUAGUGGGUGAGGUUAGGUGGGCCGCCAGAUUGUUGGUGCCCGUUUGGAUGUUGCAGGCUGGCUGCUGUGCCACAACCCCUGUGGCACCUGAAAUACCAUUGCCCAGAGUGGGGAGGGGUUGGGGCCCCUGGUUCUCACGCCAGGCAGAUGAGUUAGGGGGGCUGCAGCUGAUGAGGCCUGUUUGGGGACCUGUCUCCAGCCUGACAUUGCAGCUGUUUGCCCUAACCCUAACCUAAUGUGGACUGCCCUGGUGUCCACACCCUCCUCAGCCCAGCACACCCCUCGCCUCCUCUCUCCCUUACUCCUUCCUGCCAAGGCCCUUGCAGGGAGGAAGAUCCUUUGCUUUCGUAGGCUUGGGUUGGGCUGUGCUGUGCCAAGCCCCUUUCUCUCCGGGACAUUCUGUGCCUGGCCUGGUGUGGCUCCCUUGCUCCCUGCUCUAGCAACCUCUCUGCUCCCAGAUAUCUCUUCCAAGAUAUCCCUGGGAGCCAGGAGCAGGCACUGCUGCUGCCGCGGCUGGGGGACUCCAGAGAAGAGGAUGGCCCUGCUUUCAAGGGCAGUGUUGCCUUAAUGGGCUGGCAUACCAGCAAAGCUCUAUUUCCGGCUGGGGGAGCCCCAGUCUCCCCGUGGUCUUUGUUGGGCUAGGGUAAGAGAAGGUCUUGCCAUCUUCUCAAGGGCCCUGGGCUGUGCUGUUAGCUCAGUGCUACAUCUCUGUAGGCAGUUUUUGUUUGUGCAUGUGUGCAUGCUAAAGCAAAAUCAAGUGUAUAAAUGCCUUUUAGAAGCUGUGACAUGAGCUGAGGCAGUCCUAAGGGUGUGGCUUUACCCUGCCAUCUCCAGCCACCAUGGUGGGUGUGUUCCUGGUGCUGUCCACAGGGCAGGCUGUGUGGCCCACAGAUGAAUGGGGCCUAGAACACCCAUUGCCUGACUCCAGGGGCUCCCCUCGCUGCCCUGUAGCCCUGCUUCUCUGGCCACCAGAAAGUCAAGGAGUGGCCCAGAGGGAAACUGAAGAGUGAUCAAGAAAGUCUUGGUUGUCUGGGGUUCCGAAGGAACAUACAGUUCCCCACUGACUGCAGCUGCUUUGUGUAGAUAAUGACUCCAGGCUCUCUCAGAAGCGUCUUCCCUGGGCUGUGACUGGGAAGCAGAGGAGAGAUGCAGGAGAAGGCCAGCUGAGGCACACAGGACGCCCUGUUCUGUGGGAGCUACAAGGUGGGACUGCACGUUGAAGCUGGGGCCACAGGACACCUGGCCAUUCAGACUGUUGUCUGUCCUCAACCUCAGAGUCCAGCCUGGCACUGUCCAUGUAAGGGUCAGGUGCAGCUCAUGGCCAGGGUUGGGGGGAAUAGUCUCAGUUCUUCCUGGGGCAAAUUGAGGCUGGUUCCUAGCCUGGCUACCCAAGAACCACCUAGCGGCUUCAGUGGUUUGGAUUCCUGGGCAGUCUCCUGCACACUGGGUCCCAGGGUCCCACCUCCCCUGUGGCACCUAAAUCACUGGCCUGAAGCCCUGUGGAUGGGCCUCCCCUGCAGCAGGUCUAUGCUGAGGGGCUGCUUCUAAGGUCUGAGCAGGCCCCAGGGGCUCUUCCUGAGUUUCACUUAGGCCUGAGCUGCUGUGCGAGCCCUGGCAGGCCUUGUCCUCUGGGGCUGCCCUGUUACCAACACACGUCUGGGAGUCUGGUCAGCUCAUGAGUAUAGGGGCCCAGGGUCCUGGGGACAUAACCUGUGGAAAAGAGGGGGCGCCCAGCUGUGUGAGUUGGGAUCAUGGUGUAUAUAGGGAUAGAAAUGCCAAGCUGAGGAGCAAGUUGCCCUUUCUUCCCGUGUGCUGCCAUAGCUGGGCCUAGACAUUUAGAGAGGGAGCAGGAGUCAGAGCAGACAGGUUGAAGAGGCCACAGUGGUCCAGCCUGGGCCCCCAGCCCCAGGGAAAAAGUGUCCUAUCCCAGGUGCUCCUUGGGAUCUGAGAUCAGACAGGAUGGUGGGGGGAGGCUACGCUGCAUCCAGGCAGCCCAGCAGUGUGGGAGCAGUCUGGGUGUGGCCCUGAGCUGGGCGGGGCUGCUGGGAAGGGAGGAAGAGCUGGGGCCCUGAACUUGCCCAGUGAGCUCACGCUGGCCUGGCCCCUUUCUCAGGAAGGCCUGCGGGGAGGUGAGGCAGGGUUCACGCCUGGUUCACACCCUGUCAGGGCCCUGCUCUGGCCCUCACCUGGCCUGUGGUCACCCUCUGAGAAUCCCCUCAACUGCCCCUGAACUGUUCACUCCAGUCUGUAGAGGCCAGGAAGACUCCUCAGGUGUCGCCUUCCUGGUCUGACAGGCUCUGCUGACCCACCUUGCGAUGGAGGACACGCAGCACAUGGGAGACCCUGUGCUGUUGGGCAAUGCCACCUCCUUUCUCCCCUGCCCUGCUUUUGAGGUCAGGUAGAGCGAUGGCUAAAGGCGAGUGAAGACCCACCCUCUGUAAUCUAUAGUGACUGUCACACAGCAAACUACUCCCAUUUCAUACAGGCGGGUCAGGUGUCAGCGCGCGAUCGAUGGCUUGCGCACAAUAAUUACAGGAACUAGCUGCUUGUGUUGCUCGAGUGACUUUAGGAAGAGUAGGGUCUCAAUCUUCCCUCUAAUAGGGCUCUGACAGUCCGAGGCAGCAGUGGCGGCUUCGGUGGCGCCGUGUCUCAGGCUGACAGUGUUGUCAUUAAACACCAGGUAGCGUGGAACAACAGAGAACACGGAUCCCACACAGGGGGACAGGGCAACUGGCAGCAGUUAUUUGUCAUCACUGAGCUGCCCAGACUCGUCAGACUGCUGUGCGGACAGCUGCUUAGGGUGACUUAUGGCCCUGUCUGGGCUGCUGUUGUGAUUGGAUAACCUGUAAGCGUUUGUCAAAGAUGGAUCCCCAUUUCCAUGGUGUUGCGAGGAAGGCUGGUGAGCAGCCAGCUGUGGGCGGGGGUGCAGGGCUUUCCCUUCCUAUGGCAGCCGCUUGCCCACAUCACCUGGGGUGCUCCCAAGUGGCUGGAGCUUCUCAGUCCCCAACCAGGCUCCCUGGAUGGGCCUGGGUUAUGACACUUGAUAGACCCACUCCUCCGCUCAGGGCCUGGAUCUUUCUGCCAUCUCUGUCAGGGGGUGAGCGCGCGCACCUGCACACGCACAUUCAAGUCACUAUCUUACAUAGAUUCUGACUGGGAGGCAAGCGGCCUGGCCCUGCAGCCAUCUGUGUGACUAGCGUUUCCCUCUGUGCUGGUCAGGUCAUGAGGCAAGUUUUCUGCCCAUGUGGGAUCUUGUAGGGUUGUUCUAGCAGCUGAUGAGCCCACUGUCUGCUCUGCCUUGCUAAGUGACCUGCUGGCCCAAGGGGCCUCUGGUGGCCUCAGCAUUCAGGAUCAGGGUAUUUGAGGGUGCUUAGAAUGGGAUCCAGCUGCCCUUCUUUGGCCAUCACUAGGUGUGAGGUACUCAGCCCUCUGCUUAUAAUAGGCCUGUUCCCGGGUUUGAAGCACUGGAAACAUCAAGUGCAAGAAAAGUGGAGUGAUUUAUUAGACUCAUAAAAAUUCAUACUUUGUGAUUCCAGUUAUCCCACAUCUGAAGCUUGUUAGACCACAGUCCCUGGCAGCUCCUGCCGCGCCAGGGUGGGGGCAGGGUGCUCACCAGCAGCCCCUGCCUUAGCUGCCAUCCUGGCUCAUUUAGAGAAAUGGACAGGACCCUGGAAGCACAUGAACGACCAUUCUCAAAGGAGGGUGGGCAGGGGUCUUUGUUAGGUGAAUACUGCUGAGUUAUCAUGGCAAGAACAGGAGGCAGCCAUGUCCCCUGGUGCCCUCUGCACCUGCAACUUGGACUGGAAGUGGCCUGGAGUUGAGACACUGAGUAUGGGUAGGCCCUGGGGUGGGCGGUGCCCCUGUGUGCAAGCAGGUAGGGCUCUGUGGGCACCAGUGGAGGUUGUCAUGGAGGAUGUGGGGUGCCGCUUCAGUUGUUUCCAGGCUGGGGACUGUGGGAGUUGAGCCCUUUUAUAUCCUUGAGAGGCCCCUGCAAAGGCUGUUUGUACAGGUGCCCACUUAGCCUGGCCCGAUCUGGACCUAUUUACUGGCAUCAUGGGCAGGCUGUUCCUCACCUCUAAGGCCUUGCCAGCUUCCCCUAGUAUACUGAGAGGCUGGUGUGCCCCUCAGCUCUGCUUUGUGGCUGUCACUGUUGAGUUCUGCGAGGGUGUGGGGGAUGGAGGGCUCUCCCCUCUCAGGGCAGGGAUGUUCUAUCUGAGCUGACCAGAACCAGGCAGAAACAACCCUCUGCCACAUCCUUCCCUACAGAACAGUGGAGGGGCCUGGAGGAGGCCUCCUGCUGGGCCCACUUUGCUUCUGCUUUCCCCAGGAGCUGUCUGGCCUCCACAGCCCCCUGGGCCACCAGCAGGGAAUGGGUGUCAUGCAUGAUCAGCUCACAGUGCCGUGCUCAUCGCCACCGAUCACUGCUUCCCCUUUCUGCACCCUGAGGGCCCUGCUGCUGGCCACCUGCCAAGACGGAGGGCCAGAGGCAAGGUGGGUGGGGCAUUCUCCCGCGGGGUCCAUGCUCUUUCAGGAGGAGAACGGCUGCUGCAGAUGUCUGGCUGGGUGCUGGGAGGAGGAGGCAGAGGCUGGGAUUCUGGAUUGGGCAGGGCAAGGCAGGAGCCCAUGGGCAGGCCUGGGUCCAGGCUAAGGGUCUGACCUUCACAUCACCUGGGUUCACGUGGUAGAGUUGGUUACACUGCCUCUCCAAGACCAGAAGCACAGGGCUCUUCCCUGUCCCUCGCUUGCUGCUCUCCGUUUCAUCUCUCUCAUCUUCUUCACUUCUCUUCUCCUCUGUCUGGGCCUGUCUGCAGCCAUUCUUUGCCAUCUGUCUUUGGGAGCUGAGGCAUGCACCAAGCCCUGAACUGCCUACCCAGCAGGCUCCCUUCCCCUGGACCUGGGAUGCUGAGAAACCACCUUGCCUGGUGUCUGUAGGAACCAGGCUGAUGGUGCCUCAUGGGCGCCUCACCCCCCAGACACACCCCUAGGCUGUGAGCUCAGGGGCUUCAGGGCUGGGUCCCUGGGACUGUUAUUCCCUCUGGCUGGCCCCAGAGCACAGUGCCCUAGUCCUAGCAUGGUGACGUGGCUCAGGUUGGCACAAAACUGAGGCAGCUACAGGAGGGAGAGAUUCAGGCAGGGCAUGAGUGGCCCUGCUCCUGUCAUUUCACAGGAGCUGCUGGUCAGUCUUCCUGGUAAGUGGGUAGCUGAGCCAUGGAAGUAGGAAAUGACCCCACACAAUGUGUCCUUUGUGUGCACUUGCGGUUUGGGCAGGAGCAAGCCUGCUGUGUGGCAAAGCCACAGUCAGAUACUGAGGGCUGAGGGUGGGAGGCUCCAGGCUGUGACUCCAGACACGUUUUGUCAUGGGUCUGCUGUGGGUGGAGCAGGCUGGGGAGAAGCAGGCCUGAGCCAGGAGGGACCACAGUGGCAGCCUGGGAUGCGUGGAGUGGUGGGGUCAGAUGGCCUAGGUGUCCCACAAGGAGUGUGGGGCCCCACUGUGACAUGAGUAUUUGAGCUCACGUUAUUCGGCUAUCUUCUUGGCUUCCUCCCACAAAUGUGCACGUCAGAUGGCUCCUCUGGAAGCCCUGCCUUUUGAAACAUGUCUCAGUGGAGUGGCCCUCACUCUGGGGCGGGGGUGAGACACUGUGAUAGGGAAUUGGCCGACUUCGUCUUCCACUCCUUGGCUGGAUCUUGUUGUGGCUCCAGACCCCGGCAGUCCUCUCCAUCCCAGCAGGCCACACAUAGGCUAUAACGUGCUGAAGUGGGCUGCCCUGCCUGGGAUACCCCAGGCUUGUGGGUAGGACCUCCCUGCCUGUGCUGGGCAGAGCCUCUCCUACCCCAGGAGAGGCACUUUGCCUAUGCCACCCUCAGUGAGGGACAGGAAAUCCUGCUGACACUGCCUCCACUCUGGCUGCAGUAAUGGGCACUGUGCUCCCGCCAGGCCUGCAGCCUUUGCAGACAGCUCAGAUGUACGUCACGGUUUUAAAUUCUGGAGCAGAGGCCUCUCAGAAAUGUAUGCCACACGUUCUGUUUAAGAUUUUGUGGCCAUUUUUCUAAGAGUGCAAUUCAGCAAUUGUUGGAGAGGAGGCUGCCUGACAGACCUUGCUGGCACUGCGUGCUGCACUGGCUCUGUAGGCAGGGCCCCAGCGUGCGGGCUUUGUGUGCCUUUGCCUGUGUGAAGUGUGCGGCCCGUCUGCAGCAGCCUUGGGGAACUUGGGGUUCCUCUUGACUGCAGCAAAGGAGAAAGGGCCUCUAUUGCCCCCACCCAGGAAGUGGGACUUGGAUGGAGUGAAACUAGAGGCCUGAAGGGAUGGGAGCCCCAUUGUGCGGUCUCGGGGCCCUCUGAGAAUCUAUCCAGCAGUCACUGAGCUCAGGUUUUUCCUCCCUCCUACUGUUCUCUGCAUCUUGCAUAUUCUGGCCCAGAUAGGCUGCCGGGCCCCUCUUCUCACUGUUGUCCAGCCUUGCCCUUCAGCACUCUCUUAACCUGAAUAAGGAGGGACAGUAUAGUCCCUUAGGCUGAGCCUUUGAGCUAGGUGCUUACUGAGUGCUGGGUGAGCACAUACCAGCCAAGGUUGGGGGGAGCCUCCCAACUCCUAGCCACCCCCAGCUUCGCUCCCUGCUUCUGCCAGCAGGAGCCAGGGCACUCCUGUCUAGGACUGUCCCUACUUCUUAAGGCCCUGCACUUCUCCAAUAAUCCUGGCCUGUGCCUGGAAACCUCAGCCUCUCGUGCCCCUUUGAAGCCAGGCUCAGAGUUGCUCUGGAGGUGCACUUGCUGGUGCCACUCAUUUUUGGUGUACCCUGCGCUGUGGAACACUGUCUGUUGUAACCACACUGAUUGGCAACUAAAGGCUGUUCUGGGAGGAGGCUUCUGCCUUAAGUCCUGCAGCUAUGAGUGUGGAGGUGUGGCCACCUGAGCUGUGGGUGGCAGAACUGGUGCCUGAGGUAGAUGGAGGAAGAGGCCUUACAGGGGAGGUUGGCACAGGAGAGGUGUGGGUGGUGGCGCAUGUGCCCGCUAGGGAGCGCUUGACCUGGGACCUCUGCCUUCCCUCCAGGUUCUCCGUACCCUACCUGUCUAUCAAGCACUCAGCAGCCCCCUGCCACCCAGCUGUGCAGUGGAGGGAUGGGGCCCGUGGCUGCUGCUCACUGCUCGCACCUCAGGCUCAGGUCACGUCUCUCGGGGCACGGGUACCAGGAUAGGCCCUAGGCUGGCACACAGCUGGCAUUUUGUCAGAAAGGACAGUGCUGGUGGGGGAAGGAAAGGCCCUUUGGACUAGGGCGUGUGGAAGCUGCUGUGGCUGGUAAUGCUGACUGCUCAGGGCUGCUGUGCCGGAGAUUGAGGUGGGGUGGGCCCCAGGGCCCUCCCUCCAAGGGGACAUCAGAGGCCAAGGGAAAGGGUGCUGUCAGCUGAGAUGUAAGUGGACUAGGAGGGAGGAGGGUGUAUGGAGCAGGAGAGCAGAAAUCAAUAUGGCUUCUAAAGGGCUGAGCCGUGACAGCCUUUGAGGGCUGUCUUCAGCCAGGGAAAGGUACAUAGACAGUUUGGAGAUAUUGAAGAAGUGUCAGGGUAGCUGUCGAUAAAAAGCAGAUUAGGCAAUAUACAAAGAAAGUUGAAUCAUACCAGAUUGGGGGCAGAAGCCUGACCGGACCGAAAGCCCGAGCCCAGCAGCUAUCCCUGUGGCCUGCCCUCAGCCCAAGAAAGGCCCUCAGCCUGGGCAACACUGCAGAGGCCUGAGAAGCUAGCACCUGAUUGCCCCUGCCCUGCCCACUCUGCCUGCAUAUGGGCCUACUCCCUAGGGCCCCUGUUGUUAGGAACUUGAUGUGGUUUCCAGGGUCCCUUUGGGCAGGUCAUAUUCUCCCUGGAGGCCCUAUCUUCCUGGCCCACUGGCAUGGGUGAUUCGUAGCUGACCCCUGCAAAUUCUGUGCUCAGGUGCGAGUCAGGGACCAUUUCCUAGUUGUUUUCAUCCCCAAACUGGGACUAGGGGCUUCUAGAACAGGGCAAUGGGGACAGCGCCUCCUGUCUUCCUAUGGGCCACCUUAGUACAGAGGCCUCCUGCUCCCCUGCCUGUUUCUGGGGCUCUGGUGUCAGUGGGGUCUAGGGGUUGCUGGACAGGAAGCUGGGUCUGCAGCUUCUUCCUGAGCGCCAACUUGUGUUGUGCUUUCUUGAUACAGCUGGUGCUGCUUCCUCAGCUCCUAGGCUGGUUUGUGGAGGAGGAGGGGGCAACCUCUUCUCUCUUGGGUUCACCAUCAGCCUCAAAUGGUUCUUUGCACAAAGUAGUAGUUCCAGGUUCAUCUUAUUCAUUAACCAGUUGUGAAAUUAGCAACUCAUUUUCUUUAGCUAGUUAUUUCCCUUUGCGGUUCCAUGAAAAUCUGAACUGUUUCUCAACUCUCAUCUGCACUAAAGCAGAUUAAGAGUGUGGCCUUCCAGCCUAGAUGCCCUUCAGUAGAUGAAUGGAUAAAGAAAAUGUGGUGUGUGUGUGUGUGUGUGUGUGUGUGUGUAUACACACCCACCCCCCCCACACACACACACACCACACACUGGAAUGUUAUUCAGCAUUAAAAGAGAAUAAAGUCCUGGCAUUUGCAGGUAAGUGGAUGAAGCUGGAGAAUAUAAUGCUAAUUGAAGUUAGCCACUCCCCAAAAAACAAAUGCUGAAUGAUUUCUCUGAUUUAAGGAUGCUGAUUUGUAAUAUGCUGCGGGGGGGUGGGUGGGAGGAUUAAAUGAACUCUAGAUAGGGCAAAGGGGAGAAGGGGAAGGGAGGGGGCAUGGGAGUAGGAAAGACGGUGGAAUGCGAUGGUGGAAUGCGAUGGUUAUAAGUACAUGCAUGAAGGCACGAAGGAUGUGACUCUACUUUGUAUACAACCAGAAGUAUGAAAAAUUGUGUUAUAUAUGUGUAAUGUGAGUUGUGAUGCAUUCUGUUGUCAUAUGUGACAAAUUAAAAAAAAAAAAAAAAGAGUGUGACCUUGGUCUGAAGGACUCCACCAUCUGUGAUGGAGCCACCUGAGGAGGGAAAGCCAGGUUAGUGUACCUGCAUGCAGACUGUGAGCAGUGGGUGAUGGGGUAGAAUCUGACUGCUGGGCUCCUGUCCCCUCCUGUUACCCAGUGCAGUCCCACCUCUCUGGGCCCAGUGGCCUCCCUCCCCGUCUGUUCUCCAAGAAUGAAGUACUCCUGUACAACUAGCUUUUGGGGUGCCUCAGGCUACCCCUUCGGGCCCCCAGCCCUUCCUGGGAGUAGGGGAGAGGAGGAGGAUGCAGUCUGCAGUUGGGCAGUGCUGUGGGCAAGAGCUGGAGCCUUCUGAUAGAUGGGGCUCAUAUCCCAUUCAAAUAUGAUGCCAGCAGUUUUUCUGUAGUUUGUCUUCCAUUGCGGUAGUAAAGUUUUUAAUUAGGAAAGCUAAUGAGAUCGAUUAGUCAUUAGAAGUGACCUCUGGACGGCGGGUGGAGAGGGCUGCGUGUGUGGGCCUGAUAACGCGGAGCGGGCAUUGGCGGCAAUAAAGGCACAAGGGGCUUGAUUUGAGUGAAGCGUGCCGUGGGGGAUACAUCAUGCAGAGAAAAAAAUCACAGCCCUGGGAGUCUGUAAUGAAGGGAAUUAAACCAACAUCCUAUCUAAAUAACAUGAUUAUCUACACAAAACCCUCAGCCAGCAAGGGGUGGGCGGCCUGUGUCCUCGAGGAGGAGGGCGAGGCCCUUCCUGUCUGCAAGCUGGGCUGUCCAGCAGCCCUGCAGCUUUGCCUUCUGCCCACGGGGCAGCCCCAGCCUGCUUCCGGAGUCUCUGUGUGUACCAGGCAAAGUCUUAGGAGUCCUGGCUCCUGCCUGUCUCUGGGGCCUGGCCCAGGUCGACCCCACAGCCCAUUUGUCUAGCUUGUGUCCUCUAGGGUCACUGAGUGCAUUCACACUGCCAUCUGGGAAGGGCAGGACGAAGUCCCCCGCUGGGCAGGCUGUAGGGGACGUAGCUCCACUGUGGGGCCAGCGAGGGUUGUGUCCUCCCCUCUGUGUCCCACUCCGAUGGGAGGCCUGCCCCCCAGGACCACAGGAGAGGUGAGGAUUUGUGGGAAGCACACCUCCCAACCCUGACCAGUGACUAGAGGCCACUUUCUAAAAGGGGGUCAGCUUUGUUACUUGUAUUUUCUUGGCAGGGUCAUUGGGCUCUAGUGAGUCAGCGCAGGAAGUUAGUGAAGACGUCUGACCUGAUGCUGGGCCCCGCAGGUAGGGCAGGCCAGAGCCUGAGCUCCUUGCUGCCAUCCACGUGCUGCCUGCUCCUGUCUGUUCCAUCUGGGGACGAGCUUCUGGAAUUCAGAGUGGUGUCCUCUGGGUAGAGGGGGCAAGGGGCUUCCUAGAGGAGGUAGUAUCUGCCAGACCAGGGGGAGAAAAUGGACUUCGACCUCUGAGGUCAGGAUAAGGUGAAGAUGUGCACUGGGGAUUGGGAGCAGAGCCUGGCCACGUCUGGGGAGGCCCCGGUGGGCUAGAGCCUGGCUGUGUGGUACCAAGGGGUGUGCCUGUGCCUGGCUUUGUGGUCUGUCCCAGCAGUAAGGUAGGCAGCCCUUGGAGGCCUGAAUGGAAUGUAGUCAGAGGUGGCUGCAGAACAGCAGGUGGGUGGCCUGAUGCCUCCCUGUACACCUGGGCACCCUGGGGUUGGGGAACAGGCAGGUGGAGCCCUAAGCUGUGUUCCGGUGGGUACCCCGUCCCCGGCAAGAUGCCAGACAAGAGAGUGGGGGAAAGAGAGAAACCGGCAGGAGCUGGACCAGGCUGCCCUCUUCUUUCAGACAGAAGCAGGGAGCCUGGGGCUGGUCUCAUGGGGCUGAGGUCGGCUUGGGUUAUUGAUAACUUAAGGAAUCUCGUGUUCUUGAGCUCUUAGUUGGAACUAGCUAUUAUUGAUUUUUGUUGGUCUCUCCUUGCUUGUAAGACCUUGAAAAUUCAAUUCAACAAACAUUUAUUUAUUGACACCCACUAUAUACCAGGCUGUCCCUGGUGUACCAAGCACGUUUAGCUCAGAGCUAAAGAUUCAUUGGCUUUGGUCUCUCAGUGAGGACCAGGGGAUUCCAAGUUCCUGUUUUUCCCCUGCUACCCCAGAGUCACUGUCAUCAUAGGCUUGGGGGGCGGGAGGCGCAGGCAGGGAAGGGAAGAGACUGCAAGGGGGACAGACAGAGAGAGGGGAGGUGGAGGGCUUCUGUUGCCGGGCGUGGUGGCAGGCAUAAGGAACUGGCUGCAUCCAGUUGUCGCUGUGGCCUCCCCUCAGUGGGCGGCUGCCUCUAGCUUGUGCCUUCAAUCCUGGGGACUAGAAGUGGCCCCAUAUCCACCACUCUCAGGCCACCUGGCCCCACCAUCCCCCUGAUCCAGGCUGGGAAUGUGCAGCCUACACUCCCUCCCCUUGUGCCACUGGGGCAGGCUCUCUGGGUGGCUUUGCCCUCUGGGUGGCCUUGCCCUCUGCCUGACCCACCAGCAUGUGGGCUAGUGGAGGCCUUGGUAGAGGUUACAACCCCAGUAGAAGUUGGGGGGACCCUGAGGGGCUUUUGCCAACAUCUGGACGAGGAGGGGCAAUAGCACUUCAGGCUGCAUGGGUGAGGGCACACUGGGCACGGGGCUCAUCUGCUCCCUGCUCUUCCUGAGGACUGCAUGGCCAUGGUGCCACCUCAGGAGUCUGGGCUGAGGGAGGUUUGCUGGUGCAGAGCUCUGGGCAAGGGGUCAGAGGAACUGUAGCAGCUGCUGCUCUGCAUAUAGAGCAGGGAGGGGGGGCAGGUGAGGGUCCCCAGGGCAAGGGGAAGCUGGGCACAGACUAGAAGGAAGCCAAGGCCACCCAGGCAGACCAGGCAGGGGCUCCUGCUUGGGGCCAUGUGCCCAGGGCUGGAGGGACAGCCAUGAGAGGUGGCCGUGUAAGCUUUAAUUAUCUGGACAGUUAGAGCUGUACAUUAUGAAAGUCGGGCAAUUAGACUCGUUCCUUGAAGCUAUGGAGAAAUUGCUGGCUAUCAAGUGGAAAGGAACUCAGGCAAAACAGAUCCUUGCUAAUUGCCUGAAACAUUCAGCAAGAAAAAAGCUGUUGUGGAUAUCGCCCUGCAGAAUGUUAUGAAAACAGUGAUUAAGUACAUAAAUCUGCCUGGGCUGGUGGUAGCAAGGUGCCUGGAGAGCAGGUGAGCUCUCUGGGGCCCCUCCCACGUGUGGGGCCACAAUGCCGGAGCGCCAUCUGCCCCAGCCUCCUGUACCAGCCCUGGAGUUUGGAGCCUGGGGGGGGGGGGAAUGGGGGUUCCCGGUAUGGAUGCUCACCUGGGACGUCCCCCUGUGGGCUGUUACCUGGCUUGCUGGGCUUCUCUGCUUUCCCCUAGGCUAGGCGGUCGGUCACUCAGCAUUCUCACCCUGCCUGUCAGGUGACUGUGACUGUGAGGAUAUGUGGAGUCUGUGCCCCACUCUCCUGGAGGCCACACCGAACCCUUGGCUGCCAGGCUCUCUGGGACCAUGGGGCCAUGUAGGACCAGGUUGGAGCCAGUGGGAGAUGUGAUGGCCAGCUCAAGGGCGGCCUUGGGCCCCAGGACCCCCCCUGCUGACCUCCUCUAAGCUGACCUGUGUCCUGACUUUUCUCUGUAGUGGCUGGCAUGCACACCUUGCGGACUCCACCCGCCAGUAAGGUGAUCAAGACUCGCUACCGCAUCGUCAAGAAGACGCCAGCUUCUCCUCUCAGUGCCCCACCCUUCACCCUGUCUUCACCCUCCUGGCGAGCCAGGCGGCUCUCACUAUCCAGGUAGGAGGACCUGGCCCAGACUCCUGGGCUGUUUGGGCAUUGAGGGCUGCAGGUGGGGUCCCAGGGGUGCAGGAACAGAGUGCACCCAGGGAGCUGCAUGGUGUAUAGCAUGUUGGCUGGCAAACAGCCUGUUUUUUCUGUUUGUUGAGCAAUUUGUGCACCAGACAUAUGGCCAGCUUGUGUGUACUGCACGCACACGAAGACACUUAUGCUUGAGCGUGUGCACGUGUGCACACACCCUCCCCUGUUGUUGGCAAGCCUGUUAGCUGGUGGGGCCUCCUGUGCAGUGCUAUGGAAGCAGCCACUGCCCAGACAGUUGGGGACCCCAUGAUGGUCUUCCCUUGGUCAUCUCUCAGAGAGAAACUUCUGGUGAGAGGCCAGGCCCUGAGUAGCCUGUCUGGAAGCUGCCAGUGUGUCGAUUGUCGAGGGCAGUUCUGUGUGGCUCCUCCUUGCCCCGCCCCAGCUGGAGCACAUGCUGACCUGCUGCGGCUGCUGUGUCCAAAAGCUGUGGGGGGGUGGGGGCAGGGGCGGGCAGCCCCCAAAGAGGAGCCUGUGCUGCCUUCUUGGGGCCUCCCUCUGGUUGAGGUCUUGCCACCCACUAAUAGAGGUGGCCCAACUUCUGGGCCCCCAGAAGCCAGGCCCUGGAAGACACAAGAGUCCCUUCCUUUUGUUGCAGUGGGAGCAUCCCACCUCCAGCCUGGGGAGGGGUGGUGGGGAGAUGGGAAGCAGGCAGUGGCCAAGUCCAGCUCUGGGGGGAUGGAGGGGCCAGAUGCUGUGGGGCAGGCCCACUGGGCCAAGUGAUGCGUGCAGGGUCCUGCCACCCUCUAUAUGGUGGCUGCUUGGCCAUUUCCCCUGCUGCUCUCCAAAGGAUUCCAGGCCUGAGGCCAAUCCCAGGGGAUACACCAGGCUGUGUGGACAGAGCCCUGUCUGGGUCUGGGGCCUUUGGCAGGCCAGCCCACCCAGUUUUCUGUCUGAGGCCUACUGGCCUCCCUUCUGGCAACACUAGGUUUGGCCCUGCUGCUGACUUUUCUGGAGGCAAUAGCUGGAAGUAUAUUUUAAAUUAAUUUUACUGCACUUUUUGUAAUAUUUUUGUUUUAAAUAGAUUUAUAUGCAUCUUGGGGGCUAUUUCUACAAAUUUAUGAAGAUAAUUUUUACUCUCUCGAUAAGGUUAAAUUUACACCUGCUAUUUCCAUAUUAAUUCACAUUGCUAAGUGGAUCUAAUUUUCUUCCGUUUCUCUAUCUGGUGAGCAUGGCCUUUCCUAAUGCAAUUUCCCCCUCACUAAAUCACUGUGAUCGGGAGUCAUGAUCGAGCUAAAUUAACUUAAAUUAAUUUACUUAAUAAGAGCUCCAGAUCAUCGUGAAUGAGGUUCAGAUUUAUGGGUUUUCAGCUCCUGAGAACCUCCCCUCCGGUGAUCGGCGUUUGGCCUGAUGUCCCUCUUCUCCCAGGGGCAUGCAUGGUCAGGGGCCUGAGGUGACCUUCCUCAGAGACCUGAGGCCAGGCCCUAGUGGGUGAGUAGGUCCUGCAGGAAGGUGGCUGGUGCGGCCCAAGGGCUGCAUGUGCACCUGCACCAUGCAUGUCAGCUGUAAGUUGCAAGACCUUCUGCGGAACUGAGCUCAUAAGGUAGAGAGUAGGCAGUGGCUCAGCUGUGAGUGUGGCUGGGCAGGAGGCAGGGAGCACCGUGCCCUUGAAUGGCUCAAGUCCCUCAGUCCUUGUCCAGUAGCCUGACUGUGGGCUCCUGGCCUCAGUGCCCUUCCUGCACAUGGAAGCAGGGUGGAGCCUCCCCUGGGAGGGUGUGUGAAGAGGCCCUUUCUCUCUUUCCUGACUGCCUCACCCUGGUUCUGUCCAACACCUUGUUAGACAUCCAGGACCCUUGAGGUUAUGAUCCCUGGGCCUGGGGUGGGUUGGGGAAGGGAGCUGUCGACUUCCUACUUACGUCCAGAGACCUCCGGAUCGAUCUCCCCAACGGUCACCCGACCCGGAAGAAAGGGGUUCCAGUAGUACGGGACUACACCGACGCACGAGUCGUCACACCGACAGUUGGUCGACGGACCGGACGACAACCGACGUACACGGACCCGGACCGAACAACUUCAUCGUCUUUCUCGGACAGAGACCCAGGUCACCGACUCGACCACGGGCUGAAGGAUGACGGACGUGAGGUAGUCUCGGUCCCGGUGGACGUACACCAACCGUCCAAGUGGAGUGACACCGGAACUGGGACGUCAAUGAGACGGGGAGGGACUCGUCACCCUCCCUAAUCCGGUCACUACCCUGAGUCCGAUGGUGUCUGAUUUCCGAUGUGCAGUGGUAAGAAAGCAGGGCUGGCUACCUGAACUCUACUUACCCGUGCUCGGUCCCCCACCCUGGGAGGCAGGCUGUAGACACAGGUGGGAAGUGAGGCAGGGUGGCCCAGUGGCCAGGUGCUAGCUCAAGUGUGGGGUGGCCCCUGCUCACCCCUGGCAGACACUCACUGUGUUGCAGAUUUGGUCACUCGAGAGGGAAGGGGAAUCUGCCAUCCCACGAUGGGCUGAGUUACCGUGGGCAAGCCUCUUUCCACCUGGAGCCUCAGUUUCCUGUUCUGCCCUUGUGAGGGGAUGGCAGGUGGUUAAGUGCAGUGGCCAUGGGCACCUGUGUGGAGUCAGAUGGGGCCUCAGAGUCCUUGGGGCUGCUGCCUGGUGAGCAGCCUGUUGGCCACGUGCUGAGCAGGCCUCCUCGGCUCCACACAACUCCUGCUCCUCGGCUUUGGCAUGUCCCUGCCCUCCUUGGAGAGGUUUUCCAGGCUUGGGUCUGGUGGAAAGCACAGGACAAGGACUGAACCUUGAGGGCCUGGAAUUUUGUUGAUUGAGGAGGGGACAGGGAAAUGGCAGCACAGUUUAUGGGGAAGCUUGGGCAGGUCCCCCAGAACUCCUCUCUUGCUGCCUAUGGCAGCUCUUGCCGGUCCUAUCCUGGGGCCUUUCUGUGCCCCUCCCUUCCUUCUGUUCCCUGCUGAGUGCCAAGGCUUUUACAACUUGGAGAGGGGUCUGGGAGACGCCCUGGGUCUGCUGGACCAGCCAGAGCCCUCAGGACCCCUCUUCAGGCCUCACUGUUGUGCUGGGAAGGGGAGCUCUUUGUGCCCUGGGCUGUCAGCGCUCCUCUUGUUCUGGGGAGAGGACACAGGGUGCUCAUCUGUACUGCUUUGGGGAAGUUGCAGAAGCUCUUCUUCCCCUCGCUGUGGCAGCUCCAAGGCCUGAGAUGGGUGGUGGCGUAGCUGCCCACUGCGGCUGUUGCCCCCGCUCUUUUGCCCUGUGAGGCAUUUGCUCUCGGCACCUUAGAAAGGUGGCAGGCAUUGUGAGCCAUGUUGACAGCCAUGCUUACAGGAAGGGAUGGGCAGCUCCCUCCCACCACUAGUGCUCUCUGCACUGGACAUGGAGCAACAGGGGCACAGAAGGUCAUCUGGGAGUCAGCUGGUGGCCUUAGAUUGUCUCAGCUAGUCAGUGUUUGUCCCUGUCCAGACAGGAGGCCAGAGGCUGCUGAGCAGAGCCCUUAGGUCUUCUGGGUGCUGCCAGCCAGUACCUCUGAGGAUCGAUGUGCCCACUGAGGCCAUUUGCCCUGGCCGGACAAGCAUGUAUAAGCCAGGGACAGAGAGAGAGAGGGCAAAAGGGACUCUGCCUUUGAGAGGCAGUGUCGGUGGUUUAACGUCCAUCCUGGCCUGCAGACGUCUGGCCUUGGGGCUGCUUGGGUGUAGGGGCAGGUGAUGAUGGGAGCAGUGCAGGCCAUUGCCACCCAGCCCUAGGAGGCUGCUGUGUAGGAUCAGGUUGCUCUGUGGAAUGAGGUGCCCGCCUCCUGCCUGGGGAACUAGACUGGACAGGUUCAGCAGGACAGAGCUGUUGCUCAGGCCCAGUCCCUGGGAACCCACAGCACAGGCUGCCCUGCACUCCCCCAUCUUCCUGUGGCAGUCCUGAGGACUGAAUCACACUGCUGCCUGGGCACAGGGCCUGUCCCCGGGGAGCCAGACCCAGAACCAGCCCAGGGGCUCCGAGCGUGUCUGUGUGCAGGCCUGGGAUCUGAGGUGCACGGGCAGGAGGCCAGCAGAGGGUCCCUCCCGAGCCCUCCCAGGACUGGGGCUCACAUCCACGAGUCAGUUUUUUGUUGUUCUGAGAUUUGUGGAUUUGCUGUGUCGUCGCCAGCUCCCAGCAAGUCCAUUAAUCUGAACUGAAGCUGAAAUGUGACUUAUAUCCCUAAACUGCCUGUCACUUUUUUUCUCUCUCUAAAUUCGUUUGACAUGAAAGUGCGAAAUAAACAGGAGCUGCUGUGCUUAAGCAGAUGAAUCGGAGGCUUUUCCAUCCGACUACAAAUGGUCCUGUCACAGGCUCUUGCUGGCUGGGCUGCCUUAUUUUAUUUUAUUUUAUUUUGUGUCUGAGCAGUAAAUCUUAAGUAAUCUCUGUGCAGUUUGACGAGGUUUAGGCCAAGAUUUUGAAAGGCUCUGAAACACUUCUCCGAAGUGACGUCUCAUUAAAGAGGAUUCAGGCUGGCGACGGGAGGCAUCCCUGCCGCCGUAGUCCUGGCUCCUGUGUGCUCCCCUCUGUGUGUCUCCUUAAUGAGGGGUUUGCCCACACAGCCCAGCCACCAGCCACUGCACCGCUCUGCCUCCUGCCUGCUCCCUGGUACAUGGCGGCCCUGACAGCAUCACCAGCUGCCCACUUAACAGCAGGCAUGCACCUCUUGAGGCUCAGAAAGCUGGCAGUCUGAGAUCAGAGUGCCCACAGAUUCAGUAUCUGGUGAGGGCCUAUUCUGGUUUUCUGGGGGACUUCUGUCGUUGUCACAGGCAAGGAGAGAAAGGGGAAGGAAGAGGAAGGAGAGGAGGGAGAAGCUGUGAGGCAUGCUCUCUGGGGCUAGGCUUCAACAUAGGGACUUUAAGGGGUACAAACAUUCAGUCCAUGCCAAGGUGUGCCCUGCCAAGACCAACUGGAGCUGAGAUUCCACAGCCUCCUGACGGGCCCAAAGGCUGUGUCUGUGCGAGGAGCCUGGGGUGACCCUCACAAGACCGGUGCUCCCUCCUCCAGGACUGCUUCCCUCACAGUCCUCCCUGGGUCUGCACUGCCUUGGCAGGCCUGCCUCGUGCCUUCACCCUCUGGUCCCUGACAGUGUUUAGAGCCCUGCUUGGCUCAGCCCAGGCUGGGACCCUGUUACAGGCUAGCUGGGAAUGGCCCCAGACACUAAGGGUGGCAGAAACAUAGGGAUCUUCAGGGACCUAGACAGCAGGUCCUGGGGGGAAGGCAGUCAGGAAGCAGGUGGUUUCAGGAACAGCCUCUGCUGGAGAGACCCUGAGACCUGUCCAAGCUGGGUGGAUUUGGGGUGGCAGGCUCACAGAAGGUUCCUCUGGAGGCAGGGCCCACAUGGAUGGGGCAAAGGCAGCACAGUCUAUGCCAGUAGGGCCUUCCUGUAGGCUUGGCGAAGGACCCAGAAUGUUUGCUGACAUCUGGUGAUGAGACGUGGAGGGGUUGGGUUUAUGUGAAAGGCAGUCCCACGGGCUGGCCAGGGGGGUAUUAGGGUAGGUGAGAAGCAGCUGCCAAGAUAGUAGCAUUACUCUGGACACACCUCAGAGCCACCUGUGGACAUCUCCAGGGUUUGCUCCUAGGGGGUGAGUUGCCUGUUCCCCCAACUUUUCCCUGGACAUGGAGCCCAGGAUGCUUUGGACCUUCGCCCAACCCUAACCCCUGGAGGUAGGGGGUGUUGAAGGGCUGCUGUCAGCCAUGCCUGGUUCAGUCCAGUCCCCAAGCACCUGGGUAGUGGCCCAGGGCCCCACAGUGGCUGUGCUUGUGAGUAGUUCAUACGAACAGUCUAAAGGACCCUGGGGCUGAAGACAGUGCCGCAUGCCUGUGAAAUGCUUAGAAUAAUGGGAUUGACAUUUCUGGUUUGGGUUAAUGGAGUAGCAGAGUUUUGGAUUGGUUCUAUUAAAAAUGAAAGUGUCUCUGUCUCAGGGAAGGAGCCCUUUCCACUGCUUUUGUGUUGAGUGCCAGCACCGGUACUGGUCCAGAAGGCCUGCUUCAGGGCCAGCCUACAAGGGCCAAGGGCAGCUGUGACCCAGAAAGCUCUGCCAGACCUGCAGCCAGGGCUGUCCUGGUUUUGUGUUGUGAGAAGGGGUGGCCUGGCCUGGACCCUCUGCCCUGCCAAGAGUGCUUCCUCGGCUGGGCAGGGCUUUCCUGCUGGUCUCAGCAGAGGGGCUGUAUAGGAUCACGGUGCCUCUUGUAGCUGCCUGGCUCCAUGCCUAACUCCUCAGGAAAGAGCCCCUGGGCUGGGCUGCUCCAUGCCUGCUUUCCAGGGUCCUCAGGGAAGCUGCUGCUGGGUGGUCUCUGUUGUGUGAGCACAUUGCCAGGGGAAGCCCCCUGUGGAGUGUCACAGGAAGCUCUUCCCCACCGGUCCUCCCCUUGUAGGUUUUGAGUGCUGGGAGCCAGCUUAGCCAAACGCUUCCUAGGCAGUAGACUGCACGGACUGCUGCCUUCAUCCUGUCCUCUGUCUACCCCAAGUCUCCGUUUUCCCUUUCCAAACACUGAGCUUUGGGGUGCCCCACAGGCUGUGAGUGGUGGAGGAAAGGGUGGCACUGCCAUGGCAGAGCUGGGCCUGGACAGGCUACUCUCCCAGCUGAAGUCUUGUUGAAGGCUGAAGUCCCUCAGUGCCACAGACUGUCAGGCCUGCUUGUCCCUCAUCCUGGAACCCAGGACACCCGGUUCUCCUGAGGCUUCUCCUGAGGCCUGGAGCUUCUCUUCCAAGUCCCUCAGCACUCACAGCAACUUUGGGCUUAGUGGGGGCCCUGACCGGUAAGGUCCCCAAGAAGGCAGACCUGCAUGGUGUGAGCAGGUCAAGGGGCUUCUCACGAGAGUCUCUGGGGCUUGCGUAUAAACCAUGGCUCUGCCCUUCAGCCUUCCUUCUCUGUCCCCUGGUCCCAGGAAGCCCUGUUCCAGACCCCCCACUGUGCCUGUCACUCUUACAGGGUUGUCCUAGCCCAGCUGCAUUUCCCAGUCCCCGUGAACUGUGGGGUAUCAAUAGGCCUGGGUAGCGAUGGCAGGACAACAGGGGACCUCCAUCCAGGAGUAUGGUGCCACAUGUGGCAAGAACAGGGUUAGGAGCAUUGCUGUCCAUUUUGGGUGCCUGGUACUCCUCGAGACCUAGGAGCCACCACAACCUCCCUGACCCCCUUUCCUCACCUCAGUAUCAGCAUUAAAGACACAAGUCAAGACACCCCACAGCCAUUGUCCUAGGCCAGGAGGUCUGGAUACAAGCAAUCUGAAGUACUUCUUCAAGGCCAAGAGGAAAGGAUGCAGUGUUUGGUACUGCAGAUUCUGGGAGAGCCAGGCCUCCAAAUGGUCAGCAUAGAGGGGCUCUUGUGGGGGCUGAGGUUUUUAACUAGGUCACCCUUGUAUUUCACUUGCCUGGAGACAUCAGAGAAGCCCAGUGGAGGAACAUUCUGCACCAUAUCUGGCUUCCACUCUAGGCACGUGAGCAUGGCAAGACCAGGCAAGGCCUUGGCAUCCCCUUCUGCCUAAAGGUUGAUGCUCAGCCACAGAGACAUGCCCUCAAGUACCAAUCUGAGGGGCACAGAGGUUCCAGUCAGAGCCUUUGCAACUUGGGUCAGAACCUGGCAGUAAGCAGGGCCUGGCUUCUUGGGAGACGAUGCCUCGCUGCCCAGGGCCUCUGUCAGAGGCACUGUUUCCCCUGGCCAGGGUCCAGGGCUCCUGCUUUGUUCCUUUGCUCAUCCAGUAGUUCUUUCACUCACUGGUGCUGUUUGAGGCCUGCUCCUGACUCAGGGCCCUGCCUGACUGGACGCUGUAACACGGCAGAUCACCAUCCCUGGGCUGAGAGGUACAGCAGGGCCUGGAGACUGCUCUCAGGGCCUCUUGGUAGCUGUGGCCCCUGUCAGUGAGUGAGCAGCCAUGUGCAUAGUUGGGGCUCCCUGGCACAGGAAGUGGCCAUGCCCCAUGCUGGGAGACGCCAAGGAGCCCACACAGGAGGCCAGGCAAGUGCCUACACAGAGGCUUCACGGGACCUCGAGCAGAGGGAGCUGGCCUUGGAGGGCAAGUGUGAGGUUCUAGAGUGACUGAGUGGCCCUGGACAUGGUAGGCCAGCUUCCCUGUUCCAGCUCCCCUUGUGGGGCGGUCAGCUGGCAGGCAUAACAUCUGAGUCCAGGCUUGAUCUGGCCACUGAAUGCCCAGAGCCCUGCUGACUACAGCACAGUGUCUGCCCUGCCCACCCUAGGCCUAUUAAGACCUCAGCCUGUAGACAACUGCUUCUGACAGGUCUGAAAGGCCGUGGCGCUGUGUCUGGGCAGGUGGAUGAUGCUGGCCCAGGGCUGCCACAUGCCUGAAGCUGACCUGCUCUUUGGCUUCUGGCCCAAGGGAACCGCAGGCUACCUCUCUCCUCACUUUGUGUUAGUAGGAGAGAGGAGUGUCGCCCUGUGGUUCCUGGGUUCAUUCUCCUUCCCUCUCCUAACUAGUCUUGCAUUUAAUAUCUUUAGAUUACUUUGUAUCUUGAUAUACUUCUACACUUGCAUAAAAGUUGCAAAAAUAUCUCAUAUAAUUUCCACACGUACUUUACCUGAAUUUACCAGUUGUUGGCAUUUGUCCCAAUCUCUUCGUUGAACCGUUUGGAGCCUGUGUGCCCCUUGUGCUCGCAUGUGAGGGCAUGUCUCUGGCUGACAUCAGCCUCCAAGCAGGAGGGGCCUCUGAGGCCGUGUGUAGUCUUGCUACAUGCACAUGUUCAGAGUAGAGACCAGGUGUGCGGAAUGUCCCUCCACUGGACUCAUCUGAUGCCUGCAGAAUGAGGUAUUUGACAGGGAAACUAUGGCCAGUGUUGUGUGUCCCUGGGCUGCCCUGCAUGGACACUAGGGCCAGAGCUGCUGGCUGGCUUCUGAAGUGCAGAGUGCUCUGAGCAGCGUGGGGAGAACAGAGCACUCCUGCAUCCUGUUCCCCGCUGAGCUUCACUCCGGUUUUUUACAUCUUUUUGUGGCUUUCUCGCCCCCACCUUCCUUCUGUGCUGCUUGGUGGCACUGACAAAGCAGUGACCCCUUGCUUUGUCCUACAUGCGUCUUAUUUAUAACAGCUCAGGGCCCACGUUGCUACAAUCUGUUGUCAUCAUUUAUUUUGGUCUGUGCUUGGCCUGGGAAGCAUUUCCCGGCUACCCUGGGACCUUGGACGUGGCUGUUUUUCCCUGGGUGCUACCUCACUCUCUGCCUGACAGGGUGCUUCAGAGUCACCCUGGACUUCCUUUCCAUGGCCCUGGAUGUGCAGCAUCGUGGCUCCCUGCCAUGCUGUGACGUCCAGCUGGUUCUCUGUGGUGCACAGGACAGCCCCAAUGGCCAAGUACCAGUAGUGCUGAGGCCCAGGCUUGGGCGAGCAUGUCCUGCUGUGCGUCAUUGCUCCUGGCCCUUGGGUCUCGCCCUCACACACGCACAGGUGCCUGCUUGUAGUGGCAGUCACACUCUAACCCUACUGCCUGGGGUGGGCGACCCUCCUCCACCAGCCUCAAUUCGUGGCCAUGUGCUUAUUCACUCAAGCCUGAACUGCAGGUUUCAGAACUGCAGUUACCACCGAGAAAAGAAGCAUACCAACCAGAGUUCCCAUUGGUUCUUGGUUCUUUCUUCAGGUAAAAUUUGCAUACUGUUAGACGUGGAAGUCCAGGUGUCCAAGUUUGUGAGUGGACAGGUGUCUGUGCGUGCAGUGUGUGCCUCUGUGGAGGUGCACUCCUGUCUCCCUGCCAGUGUGCCUCUAGCCCUGGCAGUGCCCCGUUCAGAUUCUGCACAGUGGGCUGGCUCGCCUGUUCUGGAGUUACACGUGUGUGACCGUCCCCGCCUUGCUAGCCNCUGUCCCUACUGCCAGGGUUGCUCAAAUUCAUGUUCUAGCUGACAUUCUGGAAUUUGAGAAUCAGGUAAAGAAACCAAAGCACGAUGUUUGCUGCAGGAGGCAGGAGUCUGCAGAGGCGGCCCCCGGCCCCUGUGAAGGAGGAGUCUGGUGGGCCCCAGGUGUGGUCAGCCUGUGAGCAAGGGUCUCAAGCCCACACUGGCCCAGUGGAGGGCACAUGGGGAUGACUCCCAGAGCCCCUUCCCUUGCCCCGUGUUUCCCGGGCUUCCCCACAUGGUGCUGAAGCAGGUCUCCUUCGGCAGGUUUUUUAGAAUUUUAUUUUAUGAGAACAGGCGGUUACGGCUCCCCAAGUGCUGUAAAAGUUAAUGUGAUGGCCUCCCUGCGCCUGUGCUCAUUUUUAUAAUUUUUUAUUUUAUGAAACAGGACAGGGAGCUUAGUGACUUAUUACUAUUCAUUUCGUUUCAAUGCAGUAAAUAUUGAUUCAGUUGGGGGUUUUCAAUUUAAACCACUCGGCGAUUAUAUAAAAUAUUACUGGCCUCUGAAAUUAUGCUUACCGAUCCCUUCGGCUGCUCAUUAAGGAAGGAGUGCAAUUUUUAGACCCCUUUGCCUUCAUCAUUCUAAUAAAUGGGCCGAGAUACGUUUUUGCACGGAAGGUACCACAGACGCUGCUGGCAGGGGCUUGACAGCACCGUGCAGCUCUUAAUUUGGAAGUCGUUCUGAAGCGCGCAGUGGUUAUUUAUUUAUUUCUGUCUGUUGGAGGCAGACCGGCUGGCCUUGUAGCUCAGGCCCUCAGUGGAACUGGGGCUAUAGGGCUGAGCUGGCAGCCUUCCUAGCUGGAUGCCUGCUGCCCCUGCUGGCUAUGGGCAGCCCAGGACCCCAUGUCCUCCUUUGGCCUUUGGGGGAGGGAUGGAGAGGAGAGCCAGCCUUCCCAGGGCAUGAGCUGGCCCCGAGCAGCACCCCAAGGCUGGGACAUCCCUGAAGGUCAGCUGAAUCCUUGAGACCUCAUCCAGAGAAAGGGAGGGGACUUUUUCUAAGAGAUCUUAGAACCCAACCCUGCUGACAGGUGAGCCAGAGUCAGGCCUGAGACAGGAGCCCCUGGAUGCCGGGCCCUGCUGGUGCCCAAGACAGCUCUUCCUGCUCCUUUGCCGUCUGAUAGUGCGUGCACACCACACAGUGCCCACACAGGUGUGGGCAGCAAGUUGCAGUGCUCCCAGGCCACCCUGGCAUCAGAGUAGGAAGCCAGUUGUCACUUCUGGGUCCACUUCUGUUCUUAGCCCCUCAGUCUCCACCUGGAUGGGCAGAUUCUGGUGGGGAGCUCUUGGUUGGUCCUGCGGCCAGGAUAAGUGUGCUCUGGACUGAGAGUGCCCCGGUAGGCUGCAGGGACCCCUGCUCCCAGGCAGAGGCAGGGCCUGAGCCAUAUCCCAGCUGCCUCCCAAGACAGCACAGGUGCCUGGAACGGGGCAGGGCAGGGCUGAGGCCCGUGGACUCUUCUGCCACCCCGUGGCAGCCCCCUGCAACUUGGCAGGCAGUUUGUACCUCUACUUCCUCAGUGGGCUGUGAGACAAGCCUGUGGCUGGAGGGGGUGUGACACCAGCUGAGGGGAAGGGGGAGGGUUGGUCCAGGGGUGAGGAGGAGCUCAACAGUUGGGGUCAUGAACUUGGGCCCUGGAAUUGGCUUAUGGGAGGGAGGUCAGGACAGGUACAGCCCCCUUCUGCUCCCAUCUCAGGUGGAGACCUGCUCUCCAACCCAGUGGGCCUCCUGUGGUCUCAGUGGCCCUCUAGUGCAGCAAUAGGUUGGUGGAGUGGGUGGUGAGGAGGGCACCUGGAGGGCACUGGAGGUGCUGGGAGCAACAGUCCCACAAAGACUCAUGCCCGUGCCUCUUCCCUGCCCUGAACUCUGCCCUGAGGCCUUCUGCAUGGCCUCUGUCUUCUGCUGCCCCUUUCCUAUCUGUCUUCCAGGCCCUCUCUUGGCUCAGUUUCUGUGCUGUGUGUUUGGCGUCUGCCUGUCUGUCUUUUCUGCUCAUUUCUCUGGCCCUGCUCCUGCUCCACCAUGUCACUUUCCUCUGUGGCCUCAUUUUCUCUCUUCUCUCUGCAUCCAGCUGUACUCGGGUGCUGUGGCCCCAGCAGGGGACGCGGGCCGUUCCCAGUGUUCCUGGGGAGUGUGCUUUGGGCGGGGGAGGUGGGGCUCCCCAGCAGAGGCGCACUCCUGCCGCAGCGCUCCUGAGUGCAGGCCUGAGGGACAGCCUAGGCUCCACGCUCCGCUCCUCCCAGGCCCACCCACCCUGUCCUCUCUGGCUGGAACCUUGCAGUCCCAUGUAUUCCCUGAUUCCCACCCCGACUGUCCACCCAAUCCCUGCUGAGCUAGGUUGGUAGCGAGGGACUGGGGCAUCCAUCAAGGGUGAGGAGAUUCUCAUUGUACCCACUGGGGCUGCCCUCGAAGGGGCUGACUAUGGCGUCCACUCCUGAGCCCUGUGUACAGCACAUGGACUCUGAUCCAUGGGAUUGGAGAGUGACGUCUUGGCCCUUCUCAUUGGCUUGUGGGCAGCUGUGGUCCUGCUGCAGGCCUCUAGGCUGGCCUCCAGGAGGAGCAUCGCAAAGUCAGGCAGGUGUGACUUCUGGGUCUGGCUGUGGAUGGGCAUCCCUGUCCCUGUUGUGGGUAAGCCCUGAGUGGCAAGACUAAGGAAGGCCCUGUGAGACACUGCCACAGCAAAGCCACAGGCAACAUGUGGCCUUCCUGUGGUCUGCAGGAACCCACAGGGAUGGGCCCUGGGAAACGCAGUGCCAGAGCUGGCAGGUGUGCGCUUUCAUCUGGCCCAAGGUGGUUGGCAAGGAGUGCCCAGAAGUGCCCGUUAGGUCUCUCCUGUGGGAUUUGUGGGGAGCGGCCCACAGCCUGAGGGGAGUCCACCGACUGCCUCCCCAACCCCACUGAUCCAGUAGGAGGGUCCUUUGAGACCUGGAGUAGAGGAGAGUGGAGGCACCAACCUGACAGCAGGAGACAAAUUGCCCUCGUCACAGUGCCACCUGGCUGCUCUACUCCAUUAAAUACCAUUUUAAGUGGCACUUUUACCCUGGUUUUAGAGGUGGUAGUAAAGUAUUGUUCAAAUAAUCAAUAUCAUACCUAACUCCUCACAUAUAUCAACCCUUCAGCUGAUCACCUCAUCGCUUCACCUCUCAGGCCUGGGACCAGGGUCUGACUGGCAGGCAGGUAUGGCCAUGCCCAGGGCCUGGGGGAGCACGGCACUUCAGGGGACAGGCUCACGUGCUGCCUGCCAUACUGCAGGGCUCAGGUGGGCUACCAGGGUCCCGCUGUGCACUGUUGAGUAGGAGGGUGCCAGGGUCAUGACAUAGUGGGAUGGAGGAGGGAACGAGGUUCCCGCGGGGCACUGGGCCCCUGGGAGAUGGGGCGAGGUCCUUUCCUUGGGCUGUCCUUCCCCAUCUCUCUACCUUGCCUCUCCUCUCCCCCCUCAUAUUGCUGUGUCCUCAGAGAUGGUACUUCAGUGACACCUGUCUCCACUCCCCUCCCACAGUUUAGGGGCCCUUGGUGAGGGGUCUCUCCUUGUGCCCAUGAGGGAGGUGGGCUUCCUGCCCCUGGCUCCUGAGGCUUCUUCCUUCCAUGCCACCCUCCCCCAGCCCCGACGCUGUUGGAGUCUCUUAUCUGUGUCAUGUGCCACCUGGGGCAGUUUUAAGGAGUCAGGUUAGGGGUGUUUCCUGAGGUGCAGGCGGACUGGGGUCCAGCCAGGCCUGUUGUUUUGCUGCUUUCCCCAAGUCAGCAGGGUGCCUGUGGCUGCCCGUCCACUCCCCAGAGCCGGCAGCCCCCAGUGUAAUUUGCGGUGGGAUGUCUGUUAAGAUUGCGUCCACUUCCCAAGUCAGCACUUAAUUGGCAAGGCGCUUGAUUUAACAGCGUGGGAGCCUCCACCGGAAAAAUGGCUUGAAUAAAUCACUGCCCGACGCCAGAAAAUAGAUAUAAUCUCAGCAUUAACUACAUUAAUAGUAGCAGGAGCCGAAUUAAGAAAGCCAUAAAGCACAGGCGGGGAGCAUAAAUUAUGGCCCGCUCCUCCCCUCGGGUCUGAGAGGGUGGGCCUGGGUGGGACAGGGGCUCCAAGGCACAGGCCCAUCUGUGGUCAGCCUGGGAUAGAAGGGAGAUGCAGGCCUGUGGCCUCAGCCCUCCCCACUGUUCCCCAACUCCACAGUGCUGGGCCUGGGGGGACCGGGGGGGGGGGUUCCUGGGAGGUUGGCUGGUGGCACAGCCCUUCCAUCCUGGCUCCCGCUUGCUCAGGGGCUGGCGUAGCAGCCACUGCCCCGCAGUGCCAGCAGGUGCCAGGAUGGCCCUUGUGUGCAUGCCUGUGGAGCAGAGUGCAGAACAGGGCUGGGGUCUCACUGAGAAGCCCCCAUAAAUUAUGUGCCCCCUGUCUGGAUGCAGAGGUGGCACAGCCGGGCCACCUGCUGCCGUCCACCUGGGGCCUGGUCUUGAGAUCUGAACCUCUGUUCUUCCUUAUUCUUAUGGGGGCCUAGGUGGCCUCUUCACUGACUGGGCCACUGCAUGGGCCUGGUGGCCUGGGCAUUCACUGGUUUAGGGACGGCCAGGCCAGGCAUGCCUUUCAGACACAUCAGUGCUUGGACAGCGAGCAGAGGAGAGUGUGUCCCGGGCUUUAUUUUAGUUUGGCUCAUAGCCUUUCUCAGGUUCGUUGUUGUCUCUGGCUUGCCUCCUCCCUGCGGAUCUGUAGUGCCCUUUCGGUGCUGAGGAUGUCCCUGGGUCCUGUUCCUCAGUGGUCCUUUUGUCUUUCGGUGUGUGAGGAUUCACGCUGGAAGCUCUUUGCUUUUUCCCUGCACUAAGUCGGCUUGCUCAGAGACUGAUGUGUUUGGUGCUCAGAGCAGCUUCCUCCUGCCAGCUGGGUGCUGCAGCAGCCCCAGUGCCUCUGGCCUCUGGGGCCCCAGAGUGUACAGUCGUGGAAGCAUAGGGUGGGAGCAAAAUGGCUGUUCCCGUUGCCCAACACUGCUGUGCACUGGAUUGUGCUUCACCAGAGCCCCUAAGUGCUAAAGCCCAGACCCUGGUUUGACUGUCUCUGAGAUGAGGUCUUCAGGAGGCAUAAAGGUAAGGAUCAGUCAGGUGUGUGUGGUUGUCAUCGAGCUGAGUGGCUGCUUGUGAGGAGAGGAAGAGAUGAUGCCCACAAGGAGGGGCAGUCCCGUGAGAGCAGUGGGAGGGAAGGCGCUGCCUGCAGCCAGGAGAGCCUCAACAGAAAGCCAGUGGGCAGCCCGGGCCCACCCCCCAGCCUGGGUCUCUAGGCGCUGGGUGUGCAGUGUGGCACGGACCUUCCCUGCCAGCUGGGUUGUGCCCCGCUGUGCAGAUGGGCCAUUGUGUGUCUGUGUUGCUGUUGACGGGUGCAGGGUGCCUUCAGCUGGGCAUGUCUCUGGGUGGCGAGGAGCUGUGUUCCUGUGGAGCUGCUGCCUCCGGGAGGGAUGCUGAGCCCGCUGGUCUCCCUUGGUGAUGUCUCAGCCUUGGUCACUCCAGCGCAACUGUUGAGGGGUCCAGGGCCCUGGCCAGCUCCUCUAGGUCGUCUUUCCUGGUGGAGUCCUGCUGGUGAUGUGUGGUGGCAUUGCACAGAGGUCUUACUUGGUGUCUCCUGAUGAGCAAGAGAUGCUGAGCAUGUUUUCGUACGCUCAGUGCUCCACGGCUGUGCUCUUUGGGGGAGCGCCAGCGCCUCUCGGAUCCUUUGUUUCUCUUCACAUUCGCCUUAUUGAUCUGUUGGAGUUCGUUGUGUAUCAUGGACACAGUCCUCUCUCACAGGAACUCUACUGCCACACCCCGUUGCUAAGACUUGCUUUUUAAUGAUGUCUGGUUUAUUGAUCAUUUCUUUCACAAAUAGUGCUUUUGUAUUCUGCAUAUGAAAUAUUUGCCUAGACAAGGUUAUUGGAACAUGCACAUUUAAACCUCCUGUGAUCCUUUUGGAGUUUUUUUUUUUUUUUUUUUUUUUUUUUUGGUGCCCAAGAUUGAACUCAGGGGCACUUAACCACUGAGCCACAUCCCCAACCAUUUUUUAUAUUUUUAUUUAGAGAUAGGGUCUCACUGAGUUGCUUAGGGCCUCACUAAGUUGCUGAGGCUGGCUUUGAAUUUGAGGAUCUUGCCUCAGCCUCCCAAGCCUCUGGGAUUAUAGGCGCCCAGCUUGAGUUAAUUUUUGCUUGUGACCAGAAGUAGGUGUGGUUCAAGGUUCUUUUGUUUCCUCACGGAGAUAGUCUGUUGAAAUGAGGCUGACCUGUCCAAGUGCAGGGGUAUCAGCUCUCACCCAGGUACAGGAUGUUAGGGCUGUCUCUGGCCUUCCCAUCCUUACCAUAGACUCAUUGAUCUAUGUUCUUCGUGAUUCCUGGAUGUUUAUUCUUCCAGGUGAAGUUCAGGAAUGUUGGGUCCUGACCUCAGCCUUCCCCAGCAACCAUCCUCCAAACCAGCAGCAUGUGCUCUAAUUCUUGCCAUCUCACCCACUUGGGCAAGGUCCUAGGAGGCCGAGCCUCACUGCAUGUGCCUCGUGUUCUCAGUACCUCAGGAGCAGCCUUGUGCUGGGCUUCUCUCUGUGAGCCUCUCACCCCCGCUGUGGAGAUCUCCCUGCGUGUUCCACCCGGGUCUUGCUGAUGCCAGGAGGCUGUGGGUUUCCACGUGUCUUUACUUUUCGAUCAGCCACCUAUUCACCCUCUGAAUCUAAUGCACUCUGUUGUGCCUCAUAGGCCUUCCCUGCAUGUGUGGUGGCAAGGCUUCCUGGCUGCAUUAGGGCCUACUGAGGUCAUCACCUCGUCCGGGCAGCCAGCUGGAUUUGCUGUCUGAUCCUAGGAGAUCUGUUUCACAGGUCAGGAGAGUGUCGCUGUGAACCCGCUUGGACACCAGGCCCAGCCCUGCCCCUCAUGAGCUGCACACGUCAAGUGGGUUCUGGGUCAGCAGCCAGGAAACCUGGGUGGCACUAAGUACAGACGAUUGAGGGCACUGUCCAGGGCCCAUGCCAGCCAUGCCCGCAGAGGGCGAGUGCACCGGCCACAGGGCCCCAGCUUUCUGCCCAUGGAGCUGAACUCUGCUUUCUGGAGUAGGGCCAUUAAGGUCCAGCAGUACCUGUUUUUUGCAGUUGACGUACAAAGCACCAAUAGCUUCAGCUGAAAUGGAUUUUUAAAAGUGUCAUUUUAUGGAGAAUUUUACUUUCCAUCUUGUUGUUUAUUAGGCUCUUAAAGGGAAAGCUUGUAAUGCAUCCAUUGAUCGAAAUACCAAUUGAAUAGAUGUGAGCACAUAAAAUACAUAGAAUAGUCCCGGUCCCUCAUGAUGGAGCAGCAGCGUUUGUAAUGGAGGCAGUGCAAUUAGUAUCGCCCACCACCACGCCAGCUGGGAUGGGGGGGCCCUGAAUCGUUGUUAUUCACCACGGGGGAGCGACGGUGGGGGUGGGGGUGGGGGUGGGAGUGGGUUCCUCCCUCCCACCCGAAGGAGGUCCGAGGUGCUGCAGUAGAGCCCUGCCAAGGAGCCCAGCAGGCUGCCCGCUGCCCUGGCUCAGUCUGUGUCCUCACACACACCUGCCUGCAGCCCUUUCCAGCGGCCAACCUGCCAGAGCCCAGGCCGUGGCCUCCUUUCCCUGCUUAGCACUGGGCCUGGGUCGCCCGUUGCCUGCCACUGUGAGCCUGGCAUCACAUCAUCCCAUUGUAGGGGUGAUGCCUGGAGGCUUGCAGGCCCUUUUCCUCAAUGUGGCCCCAGGACUCCAGCGCCGUCUCAACUCCCACAUAGGCCUGUGGCCCUGUUGCCCACCUGCUAGAGGCUUGUCUUGGGUAGCUGAGCUGCUGGACAGCCUCCACACAAAUGCCAUGGGUGGACCUGAGGCCGCCCAGUGCAGCCUGAGCAGUCCUCAGUCAGGUCCUGUAGCCUUGGAGCAGGAGCUGCCGUGUCCUCUUGGUUUGGCCAUGGGCUUUAGGGCAUGGUGGGCUGGGCACAAGAGGCGGCAGUUAAGUGGCAGAUGGAGUAAGGUUUUUUGAGGUCAGGAGGCCAUAGCCAUCAUGAAUUCAUGCCCGUGUGUCCUCUGAGUCAUCAGGUUUCAGCUCGGUAAUGCAGAGGCAGGCCUGGUCCAUGGGCACAUGGUCAAUGGGUCCCCAGAGCACCGAGCCUGCUUAGUCACCCUAACCUCCUGCCUCUGCCCUGCCAGGCCCUCCCCUGAAGGACUGUCCUCAUCCAGGGACCUAGGGUAUUGGACUGCCCCAGGUCGCGUGGCCUUGACCUGCUGAGGUGAGUCCUCUAGUUGGGGCGUGUGAGGCCGUGCUGUGCAGCAAGAGGGAGGCGGCGAGCCGGUCCACCCCACUACUCACACGCACACCUGCACAUGCACACACACGCCACACCUACUCAGCGUGCACACACACAAUAUCAUGCACACACUCGCCUAUGCUCGCCCUCCCUGGCUGAGCAGUAUGGUGGGCCGUCGUCGUUUCCGGUGGAAAGCCCCGCUAAGCAGUUUAGUGCCUGUCACGGCGGCUUCGCCUGACCUACUUGGGGAUUCGCCGUGCGAGCUGCCUCUUCUGCUGACUGCGCACUCCCGCUAGCUCAGCUUCGAGCUUCAAAAACCGUGCUCCAUUUCCUGAAAAAUGCUUCCCUGGUCGUUUUCUCUGCUCCCCCGCUGGCCUGCCCAUCUCUUGCAUUGUCAACAGUGGCCAGAGUGCCCUGGCUUAGGGGACAACUGGCUCUGCAGCCCAUGCACUACCCCUCCCCAACCAACCACAUUGGGGUCAGCACCCUACUUGGAGGCUUUAGUUCCUGGCCCUGUGCACCCUCUAACCCCUGUCCUUCUCUCCAUCCCACCGCCCCCUGUGUGCUCAGCCUGUGCUGCCAGGCUGUGUCCCUCACUGGCUCAUCACUGCUGGCUUCUGCCGAGCAAGCCGGCCUCAUCCCUGUCUCCCUUUGCCCUGCCUGUGACAGAUCCCUCCCCUGCUGUCCACCUCUCCCCAGAGGUUAUGGGAGCCCUAGGGGUGGUAUCCACAGCCGUCCCCAGGCCCUGCCCCACAACCAGCAUUUGUCCCCUUGGCACAGCUUAUAGAGCUGUCUGCAAGCCUCAUGGCACAGGCAGGCACCCAGCAGACAUGGCCAGGCCUCAGGGAAUCCUGGCAACAGGCUGUGGCUGCUGGGCAGCCCCCCAGGCUUGAGGGUCCCAUGCUCAUCGUGGAUCAGGGAAGGCUUCCCACAGGCCGUGGCUCCUGAGCUUGGGCUCAGACCUGCUCAGAACACCAGGCAGGCACACCAUGUGUGCAACCGGCCAGUGCCAGGAGGGGGCACAGUACUUUGUAGGAUGUGGAACUUUGCAGGGGGCAGGCAUUCUGGACUGGUGGGAGGGGAUAGAAGCAGUCGCCAGGGAAGACCCAAGGUCCAAGCCCACAGGGCCUUGUGACAAUGAGGGGACCCACUGCAGGGUUUGAGGGGACUCGAUCAAACAUGUAGUUUCAUACCAAUGGUCAGAGCAAGUUCUGAGCUGGGGAACCCCCCCCCCCCGCCCAGGAGCUGUGCAGCAGAGUAGGGACCUCAGCCUGCCCAGGAGAGGCCAGGCUGGCUCUGCAUUGUCGGCCGAGGCUGCUUGGCAGCCGUGCAGUUGGUGCGGAAGCCUGGGCUGAUCCUGGGGGCUUUGCAUGGUCGGCCCUCAGCAGAGCCAGGCUGAGAUUCUGGGGUUGGGGGUGAGUUUGUGAGGGAGGGGAGUGACCCAGGGUGAGAGGAGGGCAGGGGAGGGGGACAGCAAGGCAUUUCUAUCUUCUUAACAGGUAAGACUGGAGGGUGCUGGAUAACAGCGGGAUCCAGAGUAGGGCUGGGAGAAGCCAAGUCCUGGGUGGGGGCUCCUCACUGAGGGGGCUGGCAGGAUGCCUGUCUCCGUUUUCUUCCCAACGUCCAGUUUUCCUUUGCCCACGGCACUGUAUGUAGCCUUGUGCGCAGGAAGGAAAUCCAGCCCCUGUCCCUGUGGUGCUGCAGGUCUCUCCCAUCCGCUCCCUUCCCUGGCCUGGCCCCAGUGCUGAAUGACCCUGGUUCCUACAUCUGGGCCUUGGGCCAGAUGAGGGGUUGGUUCUUGAGAGGCCCACUUUCUAGGGCCCAGCCCUAUUCUUGGAGGAUCUGUGCCCACCUGGUCUCCAGUGUUUGUUUGAAGUGCUAUUGAAUCUGGUCAGCAUGGGACACAGCAUCCAAGUUUGAAAGUUGCCUGCCUGUGGCCUGUGCCUCCCGAGUCCACCUUGUUGCCCUGCCUGCAGUCUCCUAGAGGCCCUCUUGGCCCCUUUACCACCUGUACCUGAAUCAGCCACUGACCCCCCAACCCGUCCUAGUAGGCUGGUCUCUAGGAGAGGGUUCUUUCUCUCGUCAGUCCCGAGGCUGGAUCGCAUGCACAGAGAAGGCACGGGGCCUAGAGGCUGUUGCGUAGACUCUUGAGAUGCAGAGGGGCCAGACUCCCUGGAGGGCUGACUUUUGCAGGGGGGCAGGUGGAAGCCUUCAGGAGGAGCCGCUGUUCAUCAAGUGAGUGUCCACCAAGCCUCAGGCUGCUGCUGCUACUGUGCGGGAGCCACCCCUGGGGUGCACGUGUGCAUGCAUGGGCGUAUACUGCUGCAGCGUGUGGAGGCUGUUUGCUCGUCUGGUGGGCACUCCCAUGCCCUGCCCAAGAGGCCGCCAGUCUGGUCUCAGGCCAGCAUGCUUGCAUGUCAGUGUCCAAGAGGUGCGAGUCUCAGGUAAGUCCCUGCCUCAGCCACACAGGGAGCCCUGGCAUCUUGUGUUGGAGGCUAUGCUGACCCUCCCCAGUGGCGCCCUCAGGGAGGGCAGAGCAUGGUGUCCGGUGUUGGCCCUUAAACCCAAGUGUGGGUUGGAGCGUGUGAGAGCCCAGCAAGUGGGCACUCUGGGACCUGCGCUCAGGGACCCAGCAGAUACAUCGGGGAUGCACUGAGAUGACUUCUGGGCUAAGUAGAACUUAAUGGCCUCAAGGACAGCCUCCCUCUGUCCUGCCCAGACCCCUCAGAAGUAAGAGCCAGGCUCAGCUGCCCCUCUGUCCUGAACAGCCUCUUUCCUGGAAGUUGCCAGUGCUUCUGAGGAGUGGACGCAAUCUUUCUGCAGACCUAGUUUUGUGGCGUGUGUGCCUGUGUGUCUUUCUCCCCCCACCACCACUUUUCAUCUGAAAUGUUAUCUCCCCCCACCCUGUCCGUCCUUUGUGCCCCCCCAGGGGGAGAGGGGAGGCCCAGCCUCACCCCGGUGUAGUCAAGGUUAUGGUGAUAAAUCCUGGGGCAUUGUCACUUCUAUUCGGAGUAAAUUGGCUGGCCGCUUUCGGGCUGAAGGAAAGAUAAUUUGCUGUAGUAUUUCAAAUGGAUUAGAAAUGGAUUUGAAGGGAAAGUUCAUGCCUCCCAUUACAAAGGCGAGGAAGAAGACUAUCUUAAGGCACUGUUCCCUCCCUGGCCUUCAUUAUCCACGCUUAAUACCUUUCCUAUUUUCCAGCGUUAAUGAAAUUUCCUGGCGGCAUGGGCCUGCCGGACGGAUGGGAGAAGCCUUUAGAUCUGCGGCUCCGUUGCAGAAAAGGAAUUACAGAGCGGUGCCGUGAGGGCAGGCGCUCGCAGGGUCCUUGGCCCCGCUAUUAUCUCAUUAAUUCUAUCCCCUCUUCUCUGUACAGUUCGUUUCUAAAGGCUGUCCUCUCCAUUAGGGUGACAAUUUACUGGAGUGCUGUGACACCCAUGGCAGUGAAAAGCUACAAGGCCCCGCCCCGCACCCUGCCUUGCAGACUCAAAAGCCAGUAGGGCUGAUGGAGAGGUGUGGGAAGGGGCAGAGGGCGAGCCCAUGCAGCCCUUCCUGACCUCAGGCCUCCCCAGGGGCUGCCCACAUCAGCUUCCUAAGUGCGAGUGCUCCAUGCAAGGCUCCUGGGCUUCUGGGAGAGCCGAGCAGUGGGCAGCCCUGUCCCCAUCCCCUGGAGGCCUAAGCUCCACUGCUGCUCCCAUACGUGGGUCCACAGGCAUGUUGAUCCUCGGCUGGGGAUUGCCACCCCUCUGGUCUGCCCACAUGGGUCCACAGAUGUCCUGUAGCUACAUUCAAAAUCCAGGGAGUGGAUUUAAGGAGGGAACAGAGGGGGACAGAUGGGUUGCUCAUGAUUGUCUUUAAGAAUAAGCAUAUGGAAUGACUAAGAACUUGGCUCUGGACAGAGGGUGGAAAGCUGUCCUCUACGAAGCUGAUCCUCCACCUACCGCCACCUGGCCCAGGCCCCUCGCUGGCUCCUGGCUUCCUCAAGGUGGGCCCUCUGUAGGCCUCAUGGGCAGAGACUCAUGCUACUGGGGAAACCCCUCCCUGUCCUGCUGGUGGGGCAGGGACCCUGUGGCUUUGUCACAUUGCUCUUAGUGCCGGGCUCUGCCUAUGCAGCUGCCCUUAGGGAGGGCCAGGUGGAGAACAGGUUCAGUACCUGCCCCAGGACACCUCUGGAGAGAGGCCUGGCGGGGUCCUCAGUUGGGACACAUUUCUACAGAUGAAUUCUCACAGGGCUGGGCCUUGGAUAGCGGUUGGGCACAGGUCUGGCUGCCUCCUGUCCCUCAUGUUUUCUGGUGGCCAGGGACAAACAGCCAUGCUUGGGAGAAGGGGGUGAUUGGAAGGGUUGUUGUGAGGGCAGGACCUGCCUGGAUCCCAGGUCAGGGCCCAAGAGGCAGAGAUGUGACUGGCCUGGUGGGGAGGGGGGAAAAUGGUAUACCUAGGGACUCUGGGCAGUGAGACAGUUAGGGAUUCUGGGUAGUGGGGGCCAGGGCAGUCCUAGGGGCCUGCCAGACCCCUGAGCUCAGUUUUGGACUCAGGAUUUGGGAUCAAGAUAGACAUCACUCAUGUGGCACCCAGCUUUGAGCCUCCAGAACCAGCAGGGCUCUGGUAUGGGAGAAGACCUCUCGUGUUACGGCCGCCACUCCUCGUGACUCAGCCCCUAGUGCAAUCCCAGGGUAUAGGGCCGGUGCCCAUGGGGUUCCGAAGUCUGAUGGGAACCUGGAGCUUGGGGUCUGGCCCACUUUACCCUGCCCUGGAAGGGCACAGGGGUCCAGCAGGUGCUUCUCUCCUGCCCAGACAGAACCCUGGGGGAACGACAGGAACAUGUGAUGGGUGCCCUUUGGCUGGACUCUUUCCCUCUAAGACCAGUGUUCGUAAACUUGAAUUUUAAUUAAGGGAAACUGGGUCAAGUGCCUUCCGCGGCCUGCCUGCCUGUUUGUACUUACACUGCAGCUUUGGUCCCCAGAGUGCUCGCUCACUUCGCUCACAUUAUCUCUCUAAUGGGGCCACAGAGGCCACCAGCUAGUGAGAGUUACCCCAGCUUGCAGAUUGAGAGACCAAGGUCCACAGAGACAGUGGUGCUGAGCUCAGGGGACAGCAGUAGUCUGAGAACAGGGCUGCUGCACCCCUCAGCACCCACAUUUCUGAGUGGCUUCCCAUGGGUGGCAGGGUGAGCUGUGUGCGAGUGCUGUGACCAGGCCAUCUACAACUCACCUGUCCAGCCAAGCAAGUGAGACCCACCUGCUGUUCCUCAGCAGCCCCAGUCUGAGAUCACUCCUCCUUGGCCUGGAUGACUGGGGAAGGGUCUCCUACAACUGCAGAACCAGGCACUCCCCACGGGGAGCAUUUUUCAUAGCUUGCUUCCCUCAGGACAGUGAGGGCCGGUGGGAAGGGCAUAGCCCUGCACAUUCCUGGGUUGACUGACCUUCCCUCCCACUUGAGCUGUCCCCUUGACUGCUCCCUGAGCUGAUGUGAAGGCUGCCUUGGACUCUGUUGAUAGAUAGCUGUGCCCGGAUAGAAAGUUUGAGGCCAGCCUUAGCAACUUAGCGAGGCCCUCAGCAACGUAGACUAUGUCUCAAAAAAGCGGGGGCUGGGGAUGUAGCUCAGUGGUUAAAAAAAAAAAAAAUACAACUGUGCCCAUGGCCCAUACUUGCCACGGGGUGCCACAUAACCAGUCGAUGGUCGUGUUGUGUCCCAAGCAGAGCCUGAGCACAUAUAGAAUCUAGGCUUGAUUUGUGGAAACACCUCACUUUUGAAAUGCUUCCUGAGUCAACUGGUCUCUGUGCCAGGCCCCUGGGCUCACCUGGCUGCUGGGCACUGAGUCCUCUCCUCGGGGAGAGCCUGCUCCUGUCACAGCUGGGCAGAGGCUGCUGGGCUGCUGGGCAGCUGCAGAAGCCUUCUCUCAGAGUGGCGUCAUCACAGCCUUUCCCCAUCUUGGUCUGCGCUCUGGUUUCCCUUGGGGAAUGCGGGGCGUCUGGCAGGAUGGGGCUAGGAAGGGAGUAGGGCGGCCACUGGGACUGGAGGUCCUUCUAGCCCACAUCUCUCCUCCUGGCCUGCGCUCCGCUCAUUCUGUGGCUGCUCCGGGACUCUUGAGCCCGUGGCCUCCAGGGAACUCUUUCCCCAGAUGGCUGACCUGAUUGGGUCUGCCAGCUGCCCCACAGGCCCUGGUGCAGGGCUCUCUCAGGGAGAGGGACAAGGAAGGGAAGGACAAGUGGCACUCCUACCUCUGGGGCAGGUCUGAGAAAGGGGGCCACCAGCCUUGGCAGAGACUUCAGUGAUGCCCUCUACAGGUGACAAGUGACCAGGCCAUUCCCUGCAUCCCAUCAAGAUGUAGGUACCGCCAGGCGAGGUGGCGCACUCCUGUAAUCCCAGUGGCUUGGGAGACUGAGGCAAGAGUAUCGCGAGUUCAAAGCCAGCCUCAGCAAAAACGAGGUGCUAAGCAACUCAGCGAGACCCAGUCUCUAAAUAAAAUACAACAUAGGGCUGGGGACGAGGCUCAGUGGUCGAGUGCCCCUGGGUUCAAUCCCUGGUACAAAAAAAAAAAAAAAAGAUGAUGUCGGUACCCUGGCAACUGUCCUCCCUGAAGUUUGGGGGCCAGCCCAGGCUAACUGUGUCCAAGGGAAGGGCCUUCCCCAUCGCCCCGAGGGGACCCCCAGGUUCCCAGCCAGGUUGGGCAACACCACCUUCUGUUACUUCUUGUCAGAAUUCCCUGCGGCCACAAAAGCACCCCUGCAGAGGGGCAGGGGACAGAGGCCUGGUGGCUGGACUCCUGGCCCAGGACUGCCCUGACUGCAGGUUGUCCCAAGCAGCAAGUGCUCUAGGCUGGCCUGGCCUCCCUGACCUUGGCAUUAACCACCAAAGCUCCAAGCCUUCCUGGGUCCCGUCUGAUGGGCAUUUUGCUGUCUCUGCAGGUCCCUGGUGCUGAACCGCCUGCGUCCUACUGUGACCGGGGGCGGGAAAGCCCCACCUGGGUCCCCUCGGUGGGGCAAAGGCUACCGCUGCAUUGGAGGAGUGAUGUACAAGGUGUCUGCCAACAAGCUGUCUAAGACCUCCAGCCGGCCAGGUGAUGGGGGCAGCAGGGCCAUCUUGGGCACUGGGGAGCAUGUGAUGGGGUACUGCAGGCCAGCUUGUCUGUGAAGGCCUCCACCAGCUCCAGCCGCCUCCCUCAGGCCUGGAGCUCACGGUGCUCCCCAGGGGAGCACAGCCCAGCUGGACGAGCUCUCCUCUUGUAUAUGUGCCAGCCUCGGUAGGCCAAUGGGACAGCAUGGCGGGGAGGGCGCCGGGAGGCCUGCAGCCCUGCCAUCCCCUGGGAAGGCCAGCGCCUGCCUCUUCGCUUGGCCGAGCAGCCUCUGGUUUUCCGUGAGCUUUGCUCAUGGACAGGAGAUAAGCCAGGUGUAGGGAGCACGCCUGGGCGGGCGAGCACCUGGGGCCUCAUGCCUCUUUGCCAACUGCCACAGGUCCAAACCUCCCUGCCCAGGAGACGGGCACGAGAAAGGAAGUGCUCUGGACAUGAUCAUUGCAUAAAUUAGCUAGAGGAAUGUUUUGGUUUCAGUUUUACCUCCUUGUCCAUCAAAAAAAGGAUUAUAGGCCAGCCUUGGGACCCAACAGCCCCACCUACCCACCAGAGGGGCUGGGGGAAGAAGAGGCUCAUCCCAGGAGGUAGUGGGGUGCCCAAGGCAUCAUCUGCAGCGGGCAAGGCAGAUAUAAGGGAGCCUUCCUCCCAGAAGCUGGCCCCCCUGGCUGCUCCCACCCGACUGUGUUCCCAGGUCCUGUCUCCAGGGCCCAGGGGCUUCCAAGCUGCCGGUUUUCUAGCCAGGAUGUACUGGGGAGGUGGUUCCUGACAGUGGCACUUGGGCUGGGAAGAGCCAGGUAAAUUCUCCAGAGGGCUUGGCUCUGCUCUGCCCCUGGGCCAGUUCUCUUCUGUCCACGCCUAUGGUCUCACCUCUGCCUCACUCUUCCAGUGUUCAGUGACCAGGUCUUCUGACCACCAAGGGGAUGCUGCCUUGGGUUGGGGUACAGGUCCUCUCAUCACCCUGAGUGCCCACUCUGGUCACUUCUGACCCCAGAGCCAUGCCUGCUGAAGGAGUGACCACUGCCUACUGGCAGCAGCAUUUCUGGCCCUGCUGUAGUCUCUGUGCCCGGACCCUGCUGUGUAGCCAUUGCUGGACCAGAACAUUCACACCAGGGCUCAGUGGUUCCUCUGGACUCUCCUCAGGGUCCUGACCUCAGGCCCCAGCACCAUCCUGUGGCUGGGUCCUGCUGCCCACAUGUGCUGCACUGGGUAUGACUGUGGGGUGGGGCUGUACCCACUGUCCUGACUCCUCACAUCCCCUCAUGGCCACAGAAGAUGGCUGGGAGAGAUCUGAAGGCCAGCAGGGGAGUGGUGUCCUUUACUGAAGCUAGGCUGCUGCCCUGAGGCUGGUGGAGCUUGGGGAGGGAGGGCUGGGCUGUCACUGCUCACUGGGAAGCUGCCUCCUGCUCCCAGGACCCCCGGGCCAAAUGCUGAGCUCGCAGAAUCCACCUUCCCACUUGCACACAUGGUAGAGCCCUGGUGGCCACAGAGCUCCUGACAUCACCAGGCCGUGGACAGUCUGUCCCGGGCACCCUUGCCCACUGGCCUCUGCUCUGGCUUGGCACUCUUCUGUCCUGGCAGCCACCCAGAGCCUGCCACUGUGGAGCCCAGCUGUAUGAGGGAGCAUCAGGAGAGAGCAGGGCGGGUCCCAGGGCCUCCUCCCUGCAGGCUGCAGGUGGUGGGGUCGGGGGUCAUGGCCUUCCACCAAGCAGGGCUGUGAUUGUUCAUGUCCUGCAGACCAGCCUUGGCAGCCACUGGGGGCAGUCCUGGGCUUGGCCUUCCCUCCUGGGAAGGGGUGUGGGGCAAACGGGCAGAGGCGGCCUGACAAAGCCACACCCUUCCAAGGAGGUAGUAGACAGGGAAGUAGCGGGCGACCGGGGCAGCUCCAGCUGCUUGGACCCCUGCAUGGCCCCCACUUCACUGUGAGGAGGAAGGUGGAUGGUCCCCAGCUGUGGGCUGCUGCUGACUGGCCCACUUAGAUGAAUUAUAAUUAAAGAAAUAAAUUUCCUCCCCUGGUGUCAGCGAAACUUUGACUUCAACAAGAAAGUGUAGCCCUCCUUGGAGGGAGAGGGAUUCCUUCUCCCCUCUCAGCUGCACUUUUGGGUCCACAAGAAUAGUCAGCAUCUGCUCCUGGUUGCCCUGGGUUGCUUUAGCUAAUCCCCUCCCUCCCUGGCCCACCUUCCACCCAAAGGGCACAACCCUUAGACUCCUUCCCACAUACUUUGGCCUGGAACCUGUAUCCUCAGCUGACUGGUUUAUGCUGGGGCCACCAAGAGCCUGGCCGUCUCUGCAGUGGGUACAAGUGCCAGGUCUGUCGGUAGAGCUGCUGGGCUCAGGCUCGGCUCACGCUGGAGGCAGGGCUGGCUCUGGGAUUGUUCUGAGCUCCCAGACCUGUGGGUCAAGUGAGGCAGAAGCAGGUUGUGGUCCCCACCUGGUUGCUGACUACCUAUCGCGUGUUCUGGGCAAGUGGGCUUUCUGUGGCUCCUCGUCUGUGCCCUUCUCACUCCUCCUAGGUGCCACGAGGUCAUAGAAGGGCACAUGAGGGAGGCCCUGCCAACUGCUGCCCCCAGAGUCAAAAGCUGCUGGGUCACUGAGGCCCUGCCCCUUGCUGCCUGUCCCUGGGGCGCCCUCUGCUGUUUUGGUCUUCUUCCCAGGCCUGCAGGUGCUCUCAGCUGAGCAGGCCCCGGCUUGGGUAGCUCCUCCUCUGACUUCCUGGGAAUGGACAGGCCAGCCUGGCAGUGGGCCUGGGGAUGGCAUGUGAGCUCGUCCCUGUGCUCCCCAGGCUGUGCAGGGCUAGUGAGAGCCAGGGGUACUGAGGACCUGGUGCCCAGUGGUUCCCUUGGAGGGCCCAUGGGCAGGAGGCAGGAAGCAGAUGGGGGCACCAGGCAUGGGUGGUGCUGGAGGGAGCCAGUGUCUAUUUUGGGAAGCACCAGGAAAGUGAAGUUCUCUAGAAUGUGCAGCAGAGGCAGCACCUCGCGCUCCCGAGGUCGGGGCUCGCCUGAGUUUCCUGCACCUCCAGUUGCCUGUUUUGAGCUACUUCUGCUUUGUGUGCAUUUUUAACACUGUGCAGCAUUUGGAAAGGUGCCUCCCGUUCUUGUCAAAACUCCCACUAUGAGCCCCACACUGGCGUGCUUUUAAGAGCACAAAGUGGAAAGAGGGAAAAACUGCCCCCCUCAGGUCCUGACAGGCAGCACGUGACACCACCGUGUCCCUGACUGGGAGCAGAUGGCGCCAGUGUCACCAGCAGCCUGGGUGACAGCCCAGGAAACAAGAGCUCAUUGACAGGCUAUCAAAUUGCACGUCAUUCACUGUGAAGGCUGGCAGGUGCAAGGGUGCGUCUGUGCCACCUGGACAGGCAUCCACUGCCACCCUAUGGACAGGUGUCCCCAGCUGGGAACGUAGGCCACCCUGGGCAUCCCCACCCCACCCCCACACCCCUUUGUCUUUGUUGAUCCCCACCCCCGUCCCCUCAUCCCUCCUUGUGCCCUCAUCCCCCUACCCCCAGGCAUCAUUUCCAGCCCCACUCACCCAGCUGUCCCGGCUUGGGCCACCCUGCAGCAGAACUCCUCCCUCCCACUGGGGAUCUUGCCGCUUAACCCUGGAGAUGCCCUUUCUGAACUUGGGGAUGCCGAGGCUGAGGGUAGGAGACCCACUGGUCUGAGGGCCACAGAGCUCCGGCAGUGCAGUGCCAAGUCUUCCCCCAGGGUCUGUGCAACUCAGAGCAGCAGGCAGCCUUCGCCUGGUGGGCACAGUCUGUGCUUGACUUGCUCCCGUUGUCUCUGGAGGGCCAGGGUGUGACAGCACCACCCAACAUGGCCCAGGGAACUCCAAGGGCUGAGCCACUAACUCCUGGAUGCCAAGGAAGGAGGGUCUGAGGUCCAGCCAGUGGGGUGUGAAGGAGCUGAGGUUUGGAGAGGCCAUGGGUCAUGCCAGAACCUGGAGAGAGGGGCCACACUGGAGAUGGGCUCACAGAUGCCCUGGGGGAGGGGAGCUCUGAAGCAUCGUCCCCCAGACCUGCACUGGCAGUCUGCCGUGAGAGCAGGGACUAGCUGAGUGAGUCUAGGCACCCUGGAACAUCCCUUUUAAAAACCCCAGAUGGUUUUGUCAUCACCUCAGGCCCUCAGAAUUUCUGCAUGAUGUCACUUCUGCCUCUUAGCACCGUAUUCAUUUCAGCAGCUGCCCUGUAGGAAAUGGGAUCUGGUCUGGGAAGGGUCAUGUGCGUAUUUGAGGAACCCAGGGAAACAGUCUGAGUAGGCCCUGCCCUGCCUGGGCCUCCCCGCAAUCCUGGGACUGGCCUGUGCCUUUAAAAGGCAGGCCCCUCCUUUUGCAGGCCCCCUUCCUCACUGACCGCUGUCCCCCACGUUGGUCCCUUUAAUUCUAAGGGGACCCCAAUGUAUGUCACUGCUAUCCUCACACCAUAUUAAUGAUCUCAGAAAAGCUAAGCCGAUCUGAUCUUCAGUCUCAUCUUCAUGCUUGGGAUUUUAGGGACUAUCUGGAAAGGUACCUCCAAAAUUGCAAGUGAUAAGCCACACUUGCACCUGGGCCAGACCCCUGAGUGUGAGGCUCCCACCAAACCAUCUGCAUUUCCAAAGCCAGGCCACAUGUGGUCCACAUUCACUGCCUUGUCUAAGCAAACCCCUCCCGGUCCUACUCUGGGGCUCUGGCAGGAGGCGGUACCCCCACCAGUGUCAAAGCCUGGAAAGGGCCUCGGCCUGAGGACCUGCCCCAUGAGACGCCUGGCUGCCAGGGUGGGCUUGUAGGUGGCCGGAAACCAGCUGGUGGGAUAGCCCAUCCAGCCUCAGAUGUGGCUUGGGAAACCCAGCUGGCUGCAGGCCACUCACUUAUCCCUGAGCAGUCCAGUCCCCUGUAGGGGGCUGCCUGGCAUGCCAGCUCUGAGGGCACCAACAGGAGCCCUGCCUGGCCCCAACCAUGACGCUGUGUCCCUAGAGGGCGGGGCUGUGGGCAGCCUUCUGCAGGAGGCAGCCAUGCUGGAGCCCAGGGCUGAGGACCCUGAGGGGGCAUUGGCCAGGUGGAACUGUGGAAAGAGGAUGGGCUGGGCUGCGGCCUGAUAGGACCCUCUCCUCUCCCUGCUACAGGCCGAAUGGAUCCUACCAGCAGCUGUAGCCGCUCCCAUGCCAGGUGCGUCCCUCGGGGGCUGGGCAGGUGGGGCUCACUGCUCAUCCUUGGGCUCAUGAAC